rnacentral:lncRNA from 1 species
UAUAACCUUCAAAGUCAGGAUAACCUUCACAAAACUUCAACAACAGAUUUUCAAUCUUAAAAGAGUUUCCAAUCUUUUAAACUUUUGACAAUUGGUUCAAAUGCCAUAGUGAGGGGAACGAAAUUCCUCUUCAAAUGGGUUACCAAAAUUUCACACCCACAGUAAACUACUUAAACCUGAUGGUAAUUAGAAGUCAAGAAGUUGGAGCUGUAAGCAAUUGGAGGAUGCAACCUCGUGAGCAAACUAUUUGUGCUAUUUAACGGUAAUUGAGAUUUCACGCAAGAAUUCAAGAGUUCAUGCCGAAACAUUUCUUAAAAUCUUAGUAAGGGCGUUUUGCCAUUUGAAGAAAGUACGGUGAAAUCUUCUCCAAGAAUAUUAUACGGAGUUUUUCCUAUUCCAGGUAUGUUAAGGCUAUCCCUUCUUUCUUUUGGCAUGAUCCAUACGAUACGAACGAAACGUGCAAAUACACAAAUUCUAUGAAUGACUCUACUCAUAGAAGUAAUAGAAAUAUCUUUGUUCUUUAAUUUCCAUGUGUCAUAAUAUUUUAUCAGUUGUUCAUGGGUCUUAGAAAAUACAAAAGUUGAAAAGAUGUUACUUUAUGACAUUACUCAAGAGGCAAAAUGGUCUUAUGACAUUCCGGAUGAUUUUAUUGGCGUACUUUUCAUGCAUUGCAUUCAUGUGCAUUGACACAUGACCAGAUGGCGUUAUAUACGCGUAUAUAUGUAAAUAUAUGUAUAUGGGAUAUGGUAAAAGGUUACGGCAAUAUAUACGCACCACCACCUGAUCAGCUGGUAUAUGAUGAUGAUGUUGCCCACAGUGGUAUAUGAUUCAAAUGGCGUUAUAUACGCAUAUAUGGGUAUGUAUUCAAAUGGCGUUAUAUACGCAUAUAUAUAUAUGUAUGUAUUCAAAUGGCGUUAUAUACGUGUAUAUAUGUAUGUAUAUAUAUGUAUAUGGGAUAUGGGAAUGGUUAUGGCGUUAUAUACGCACCACCACCUGAUCAGCUGGUAUACGAUUAUGACGUUGCCCACAGUGGCCGAUAUGAUAUGAUGGGAUGCCCUUAGAGGCUGAUGAUGUUAUGAAACAUAUACCUAUGCACGACCUGACAUUCAUACGCAUAUGCAUGACGUUGAAAGUAAGUUAUGAUUUACAAAGUUAUUCAGACUUACGGGUUGAGUCAUGUACUCCAUAUGUCUUCCAUGUCUCUAUGUAUUUAUUUAUGUGCCUUACAUACUCGGUACAUUAUUCGUACUGACAUUCCUUUUGCAUGGGGACGCUGUGUUUCAUGCUCGCAGGUCCACAUAGACAGGUCAAAAGCCCUACAAGUAGGCUAUCAGCUCAGCGGAAGGUGAUGGUGCGCUCCAUUUGCUUCGGAGUUGCGUAUUUGGUUAGUAUGAUUUAGACNNNNNNNNNNNNNNNNNNNNNNNNNUGUCACAUGUAUAUAAUUAUGUAAUAAGAAAGGUAGAUUACGUUGGUACUCGGUCAAGUAAGGUACUGGGUGCCCGUCGCAGCCCAUCAAUUUGGGUCGUGACACACACAAUCGUACCUAGCGCGGCCGCAGUUGAAACUUCGGACUAAAGGCACCGCGGACGCGGUUGAAACUUCAAAGAAAUCUUGUUUUUGUACUUUUCAAUCCCGCGUCCACCAUCAAAUUCUGCCCCCGCGAUAAGGCCACCGCUGUUAGCGGUCCAACUUCAGAGAGCAAAUUUUUUUCAGCUUGACCUGUACUGCAUCAAACAUCCCUACGCACAUCUCACAACCAGUUAGUUCACCAACAAAUCUUAACUACAAAGAAAGUCAAAAAAGAAGAAAAACACAUGGGUUGCCUCCAUGAAGCGCCUGAUUUAACGUCACGACACGAUGCAGGUUACAAUCAAUCACUAGAGAUGGAUCAUUGCCACCACGUGGCCAUCAUCAAAUUUGCCAAGAUAGUGCUUCACUCUGUUCCCAUUAACUCUGAAGAUCUCACUAUUUAUUUUUCAAAUCAAGAGCACCAAACGGAGUCACAAGCACCACCUUAAAAGGUCCACUCCAUUUUGACUUAAGCUUUCCCGGAAACAGUCGUAACCGGGAGUUGAACAAAAGAACCAAGACGCCCACUUUGAAUUCCUUGCUACGGGCAUACUUUCAUAUAUGUACUUCAUCUUGUCCUUAUACAAGGACGAGCUGGAAUAGGCAUGAAACCGGAACUCAUCAGGCUCAUUGAGUUGCUCCACCCGGAGAUUUACUGCAACAUCCCAUUCAAGAUUCAACUUCCUCAAGGCCUACAUGACCUUGUUCUCUAAAUCAAUCGGGAUGGCAAGCUUUACCAAACACCAAUCGGUACGGAGACAUACCAAUUAGAGUCUUGUAAGCAGUCCUGUAUGCCCACAAAGCAUCAUCCAGUUUCUUUGACCAGUCAGUCCUAUUUGCAUUAACCGUCUUUGACAAUAUGCUCUUGAUCUCCCUAUUGAAGACCUCCACUUGCCUACUAGCUUGAGGAUGGUAAGGGGUAGAAACCUUGUGAUUGACACCAUACUUUGCAAGCAAAGUGUCAAAUGCCUUAUUGCAGAAAUGAGACCCUCCAUCACUGAUGAUUGCUCUAAGAGUACAAAACCGAGUAAAGAUACUAUUCUUGAGAAAAGCCACAACACUCCGAGACUCAUUGUUGGGUAAAGCCACGACCUCAACCCACUUUGAAACAUAAUCAAUGGCCACCAGAAUGUACGUGUUUCCACAUAAACUCACGAGGUCCCAAGAAGUCAAUGCCCCACACAUCAAAUAUGCCAACCUCAAGAAUAGUGGUGAGAGGCAUCUCAUCCUUCUUUGAAAUUCCACCUGUUCUUUGACACUCAUCACAUCUCUUCACAAGCUCACCCGCAUCCUUGUACAAUGUAGGCCAAUAAAAAACCAUAACUAAGCACCUUUGAGGCUGUCCUCGCCCCACCAUGAUGGCCACCAUAGGGGGAGGAAUGACACGCAUCCAAAAUACUCAUUUGCUCCUCUUCUGGAACACAUCUCCGGAUCACACCAUCAUUAUAGAUUUUGAACAAGUAGGUCUCAUACCAGUAGUAAUCCAAGAUAUCCAGUUUAAGCUUCCUCCUUUGGUUAGAAGAGAGCUCACACAGAACAAUACUGGUCACAAGAAAGUUGGCAACAUCCACAAACCAAGGCAUGCUAUUCACAGAUACAGAGAGGAGUAUCUCAUCAGGGAAUGAAUCAUUAAUUUUGAGGCGGCCUCCCCUCCUCCUCCAAGCGGGACAAGUGGUUCGCCACUUGGUUUUCACACCUUUUUCUAUCAACAACCUUAAGGUCAAACUCUUGAAGCAAUAGAAACCAUCUCAUCAACCGAGCCUUGGAAUUCUUCUUUGUCAUCAAGUAGCAGAGUGUUGCAUGGUCAAUAUGAACUAUCACCUUGGCACCCAUGAGAUAAGGCCUAAACUUCUCCAUUGCAAAUACAAUUGCUAGCAACUCUUUUUCCGUCACUGCGUAAUUUUACUUGAGCAUCAUUAAUUGUUUUACAUGCAUAAUACACCGGGUGAAACAUCUUAUUUACUAUUUAACCCAAGACUGCUCCUACCAUAACAUCACUUGCGCCACACAUGAGCUCAAAAAGUAAGCUCCAAUUGGGUAUAGUAAUAAUGGGAGUGGUUAUCAAUUUGUACUUGAGAAGUUCAAAAGCUUUCAUACAUUCCUCAUUAAACGCAAACUUGACAUCCUUUUCCAAUAACAUACAAAAAGGAUUCACUACCUUAGAAAAGUCAUUGAUGAAUCUUCGGUAAAACCCUGCAUGCCCAAGAAAACUAUUAACCCCCUUGACUGAAGUAGGAGGAGGAAGCUUUGAGAUCACUUCAAUUUUAGCCUUGUCCACCUCUAUACCGUGAUUUUAGAUCUUAUGGUCAAGGACAAUGCCCUCCUCGACCAUAAAGUGGAAUUUUUCCCAGUUAAGCACAAGAUUGGUAUCUUCACACUAGGCCAACACCUUGUCAAGAUUCUUAAAACAUUCAUCAAAAGAGUCACCCACAACACUAAAAUCAUCCAUGAACACUUCUUAGAAGUCCUCCACCAUGUCGGUAAAUAUAGCCAUCAUACAUCGUUGGAAGGUAUCCGGUGCAUUACACAAACCAAAAGCCAUCCUAGAAAAUGCAAAGGUGCCAUACAAACAUGUGAAUGUGGUUUUAUCAUGAUCUUCUGGAGCAAUCAAAAUCUACUUGUAUAACCUGAGUACCCGUCCAGAAAACAGUAGAAGGCAUGCCCAACAAGUCUAUAUGGCAUCUGGUUAAGAAAGGAUAAUGGAAAGUGAUCUUUGCGGGUCACUUAUUCAGCUUGCAGUAGUCCAUGCACACCCGCCAUUUGGUGACAGUCCUGGUAGGUAUCAACUCAUUUUGCUUAUUGGUAACCACAGUCAUACCACCUUUCUUCGGCACACAUUGCACCGGCGGAGUCCAAGAACUAUCCGAGAUGGGGUACAUAACCCUGCAUCUAACCACUUGAUCACCUCCUUAUUGACAACCUCUUGCAUAGCCUCGUUCAACCUCUUUUGAUGUUCCACGGAGGGGUUGGCAUCAUCUUCAAGUAUGAUCUUGUGCAUGCAAAAGGCGGGGCUUAUUUCCCGAAUAUCAACUAGAGUCCAUCUAAUUGCCUUCUUUCUUCUUUGGAGCACUUCCAGUGUUGCAUCUACCUGCACGUUAGUAAGACAAGACGAAAGAAUAACAAGUAAAGUUGAACUAGGGCCUAAGAAUUCAUACCUGAGAUGUGAGAGCAAAGGCUUCAACUCCAAAACAGGAGGUUCCUCAAUUGAGGGCUUUGUUGGUGGAGUAUUUCUGUUCUCAAGAUCCAAAGAGAGCUUUCGAGGCUUAUAAGAGUAAGAGCCCAUUCCAUGCAAAGCAUUGACACACUCCACCCGACCUUCAUCCUCAUUUACAUCAAGGUUCAAUAACGCCGCCUCUAGAGGGUCCUCUACAUUGAUCAUUACACUAGUAUCAUCAACUAUCACCUCCGUGACAAGAUCCACAAAAGAGUACACUUAAGUACUAUUCGACUACUUCAUUGAUUUGCACACAUGAAAGACCACGUUUUCAUCACCCACCCGAAAGGUGAUCUCCCCUGCUUCCACAUCAACCAAUGCUGAAAGAAAAGGCCUUCCCAAUAUUAUCGGCACCUCAUAAUUGACCUCACAGUCCAGAAUCACAAAGUCAGCAGGCAAAAUAAACUUUUCCACCAGAAUAAGGACAUCAUCAAUAAUACUAAGCGGCCUCUUCAUUGUUCUAUCCGCCAUUUGCAACCUCAUUGAAGUAGCUCUCAGUUGAACAAUACCCAAAGUUUUGAACAUGGGGUAAGGCAUCAAAUUGAUACUUCCCCCAAAUUACACAAUACCUUUGCAAAAUCCACACUCCCAAUGGUACAUGGAAUGAUGAAAGCGCCGAGAUCUUCAAGCUUUGGAGCCAUCGAGUGCACAAUUGUACUUAGUUGAUGAGUCAUUUUGUUGGUCUCACAAUCCAUGGAUCUCUUUUUAGUCACCAAGUCUUUCAUGCACUUGGUGUAACCCGAAAUUUGCUCAAGAGCUUCCACCAAAGGAACAUUGAUUGAUAAGAUCUUUAUCCUGUCAAUAAAUUUCUUAAAUUGGUUAUCAUUCUUUUGCUUUGCAAGCCUUUGAGGGUAAGGUAGAUGAGGCCUUGGCAAGGGAGCCUUAGCCUUGGGCACUAUCAUUUCCAGUAUGUCUAUUACGUGUUCCCUACAUGGGUUCACAUUAUCUUCAGUCUCUGCCUCAUUAUCAUUAAUAUAAAUUCUCACUUCCGCAUUCAAAUUGCCUCAACUAUAGGAACAUCAUCAUCUUGUACUUCAACCUCAUAACUUAUAAUUUCCUUUUGGUUGGAGUCAUUCACAUCACCACCUUGACCGCUUGUAGUAAUCACCGACAUUGCAUGUCUGGUGUUGUUCCCACCCUUCGGGUUUACUACCGUAUCACUAGGUAGAGUCCCCUUAGGGAGAGUUAGCAUUGAUAGUCGGUAUUCUUCUUCAUCAUUUGUUCAAACAUCAUCUCGAUCCUUCCCAUAUCAUUGUUUGAUGAGUUUGGACCUUGGGACGAAAAUGGAGGUGCCCUUGAAAGCCUUACCCCUGAUUCCCUUAAUUGCCAUUAUUUCAACCCCCUUGGUUGUUGUUUCCUCUCCAAUUGUUGUUGUUGCCACUCCAGUUUCCCUGGUUAUUCUGGUUGCCCCAAUUCCGAUUGUUGUUCCUCUAAUUGUUAUUGCCUUGUUGGUUUUGAUUCCCCCAAUUUCCUUGGGAUCUCCACUGUUGUUGUUGGUUAGGAGCAUUGCCCCUUUGGCCUUAAUAAUUGUUCAUGUACUGCACUUUUUCACUUUGCUCAUCAUAGCUAUCAUCUUGAUUGAAACCACCACUACCUUGAUCAUAUUGAUCCGGACUACCUUGACCUUGUUGACCUUUUUGUUGCCUCUUGUUGACCAACAUGUUGACACCUUUUAUAGCAUUUACUUCUCUAAGAGCUUGAACUUGUUUCAAUUGAGCUUUUGCCAACUGGUUCAUUGUUGUAGUUAAUUCUGCUAUUGCCUGGCCAUGAUCAUGGAGCUCUUUUUGCAAGUGGAUGACAGUGGGGUCACUCUGUGGCACAUUGGCUCAACUUUGCCAAGCUACGGAAGUAUCUGCCAUCUAAUCCAAUAUCUCACACGCCUCAGCAUAAGGUGUGUUCAUAAAAUUUCCUCCUGCUAGCUGGUUCACUACACACUGAUUGAUCGUGUUAAUGUCACGGUAGAAUGUCUACUGAAUCAUUGCUUCGGUCAUGUCAUUGUUCGGACAUUCUUUCACCCUUGUCCAAUAUCUCUCCUAGAUCUCAUGAAGUGGUUCAUUAGGUUCCUGUUUGAAGGCCAAAAUCUCAUCACUCAAAGUUUCCAUAAGCCCUGGUGAGAAAAACUUAGCUAUAAACUUGUCCGCCAACUCAUCCCACAUAGUGAUGGAAUGGUUGGGAAGCCUUUCGCGCCAGUCUAAAGUAUUCCCUAUAAGUGAGAAAGGGAAUAAUCUUAAUCUCAAUACAUUCUCUGACACAUUUGUUUGCCUGCUUCCCCAACAGGUAUCCACAAAGCCCUUAAGAUGUUUAUAUGCAUUCUGAAGGAGAGCACCUAUGAAAUUCCAUCGCUGCUCCAAUAAAGUCAACAUCACAUUUGUAAUUUGAAAAUUGCCUUCCCGGAUUCGGGGUGGGACAAUUGCACUUGCGUAUCCUUCAUUUGGAAGCACCCGAAUAUGCACUCUUGGAGCUUGCAGGGGAGGGUCUGGAAUAUUGUCAUUGGCCUGGAGGCCUUAUCUUUGACCUUGAGGUACUAGAGGCACCUCAUUCUCACCAUUAUCAUCUACCUCCUCCUUCGGCAGAACAUUUCAAAGAGGAUCAUUGUUUUCCAUUUUGUACCUGAAUUGAUGACACACACAAGUUAGUAACACAGAAAUAAAGAAAAAGAGGACACAAAACUAGUCAAAUAGAUAGCCAAAACCAUUUAGCUCCCCAGCAACAGCGCCAAAAAGUGAUCGGCUCCAACUCUACACCACUAUAGAGUGGCAAGAGCGGUCGAUGCAACUUUUACCCAAAAGGUCGGGAUCGAAUCCAUAGGGAGCUAAGAUAUUUUUGGAGUUGGAUUCCUAUCUAAUCUAGCAAUGUUCUUGAUUGCCCUUACAAUCAUUCUUUGUUUGUUUGAUAUUGCUAAUUUAAUACUAAUAAUGCACAAAAUUAAGCUAAGUAGAUAUUUUUGUAGGGUUUUUUAAAUUGGUAAAAAGGCACUAGGGAAGUGACUUACUCUUAGGUGAGUAUCUAAUAGGAUCUAAAACUUAGGGUAAUAUUUUUAUAGUUGAGAUCGUGAUAUAGCCAAUGCAUGUAGCUACUCACUCUAUACCUCUCGGUAGUUUGAAUGACUUUGCCCUAAUUGGCUUUCUCAAGCCCAAUUGGGUGUUCAAUUUGUGCAAGCAAAGUUGGCUCAAGUCGGGUAUUACUAUCUUUAGGUUUAACCCUUUAAUUGGGGCUAUUCAUCUCUUGAAUACACCCCAAUUCCUUGUUGGCCUGAAUUUCCUAGACUUAAGCUCUCUUUCUCAAGAAGAUCCUAAGUAGAAAAGGCAUAUAUUAGUAUUUGUAACCACCAAUUCAACAUAAAAAGCACGAAAUCAGGCCAAAUAUCAAUCACCCAUAAACAUCUAAGCCCAAAAAUGGAAGACCCAUUAAAUACCCACACGAGGGUUGAGCCACAACCCUAGCUAAUGGGUCUAGCUACUCAUAAUAACUGAAGAAAUCAAAGAUUAAGAUGAAAUAGAAGCCAUAAAAAUUAAUUACAAGAUAAAAGUGUAAGAUUAAUUUUUUAAACAAGCUCUAAAAUUACUCAAAAGCCAAAAGUAGGCGGUUCACGAGCUCAGCUAAACAAAAGAUGACCUAAAAAUAUGAACAAGAAGUAUUUAUACACAACUAAAUUUUUUUGACAAAAAUGCCCUUACGGAGUUACCGGUGAGAGCAAAAAAUGGACCGCUGCAGCGCUGAGACUACCGCGACCGCAUAAAAUUAAGUGCAGACCGCAAUCUUUAACUUUUAGCUUCAUUCUUGGUCCUCUGAAUCUGGCUACAUCUGAGGGCGAUAUAUGCACCGCGACCGCAUUGAGUCCACCGUUGCCGCGAAAAAUCAUCACGGUCAGCGGUGACUUGUAAACCCCCAAAUUGUCGCUCUCAGUUGACUCAGCUUUUGACUUGUGCAGGUUUCACUUCUUUUUGAGCUGGUUUUGACUUUCUUAUCUCUUUUUGACCAAACACUGCAAGCAAGCACAAUAAGUUAGCUUUUGGAAUUACUUGUACACACUUUAAAUCCAAAACUUAAGCAAAAAUGAGCAUAAAAUAAACUAAAAUCCCUAGUUAUCAGGAUGCCUUAAGAAGGAUGGUAGAGAGUAUGGGUAGCUUGGCAUUCAUUUCAGCAGAGGAGAGGCCACUAGCUUUUCUACAUUCAGUCCUUGUCUAACAAACUUGUGAGGUUGGAAAUUUUAGAGCACAACCGAGUUCUUGCAUGUGUUGUUGCCCAAUCUUCAUUAUUGGGGCAGAUCAAGGCUCGACAGUUUGAUGAUCCGCAUUUGGUAGUUUUCAGAGAGACAAUACUACAUGGUGGUGCCAAGGAAGUUUCUAUUAGCGAGGAUGGUGUUCUGCGACUCCAGGGUCGCCUACGUGUUCCUAAUGUCGAUGGAUUGAGGGAGAGGAUUUUAGAAGAGGCACACAGCUCUUAGUAUUCUAUUCAUCCAGGGGCUACGAAGGUGUGUCGUGACUUGAGACAGCAUUAUUAAUGGUGGCAAAUGAAUAAAGACAUAGUUGAGUAUGUGGCUAGGUGCUUAAAUUGCCAGCAGGUUAAGUAUGAGCACCAGAGGCCAGGUGGCCUACUUCAGCAGAUGACUAUACCUGAGUGGAAAUGGGAGUGCAUUACUAUGGACUUCAUAGUUGGAUUGUUGCGGGCCUUGAGGAAGUUUGAUGUAGUUUGGGUCAUUGUCGAUAGGUUGACCAAGUCGGCACACUUCAUUCCGGUUGUGACAACAUAUACUUCAGAGAAGUUGGCCCAGAUUUAUAUUCGGGAGAUAGUUCGGUUGCACGGUGUUCCUGUUUCCAUGAUAUCAUAUAGAGGCCCUCAGUUCACUUCACAUUUCAGGAAAACCGUAUAGAGUAAAUUGGAGCCCCGUGUAGAGCUCAGUACAACAUUUAAUCCAUAGACCAACGGGCAGUCAAAGCAGACAAUUCAGAUAUUGGAGGACAUUCUAAAAGCAUGUGUGAUUGAGUUUGGAGGAUAGUAGGACCAGUUCCUGCCUUUGGCUGAGUUUUCUUACAACAAUAGUUAUUAGUCCAACAUCGAGAUGGCUCCAUUUGAGGCUUUAUAUUGUUGACGAUGUCAUUCUCCCAUCGGGUGUUUUGAGCCCGGUAAGGAUAGGUUGUAUGGUACUAAUUUGGUAAAGGAUGACUUAGAAAAGGUAAAUUAUAUCUAAGAGAGAAUUCGCAUAGCACAUUCCAGGCAGAAGAGUUACGCGGAUCAGAAGACGCGUGAUUUAUCAUUUAUGGUCGGUGAGAAGGUUCUCUUGAAAGUCUUGCCGAUGAAGGGCAUUAUGAGAUUUAGAAAGAAGGGCAAGUUGAUCCCCAGGAUUAUACGCCCAUUUGAGGUGUUGAGGCGAGUUGGGGAGGUUGCUUAUGAGCUUGCUUUACCUUCCAGCCUAUCAGGGGUUCAUCUAGUUUUUUCACGUGUCUAUGCUCCGGAGAUACCAUGCCGACUUGUCAUAUGUGCUAGACUUCAACAUUAUUCAGCUAGAUGAGAGCUUGGGUUAUGAAAAGGAGAAGGGAUUACCAGUUAAGAUCCAAGAGGAUUUCCACGGCAAAGGUCUAGUGGAGAGGCCAACCAGUCGAGGAGGCGACCUGAGAGUCCGAGGAGGACAUGCAGAGCAGAUAUCCACAUUUAUUUAUCACUUCAAGUGCGAAUUUAAACCCGUUCGAGGACGAACGUUUGUUUAAGAGGUGGAGAAUGUAACGACCCGCUCGGUCGUUUUGGUUUCUAGAACCUCAUUCUUCUGAAUAAGACCUCCCGUACUUGCAUUUACUGAUUUAUGACUUGCGGGGAUGGUUGGUUGUGGAUUUCGAAGACUUCAGGUUGAAAUAAGAACACUUGGUUCCUUAAGGUUGGCUUAAAAAGCCAAUUUUGACUUAUGUCAAUGUUUUGAGUAAACGACAUCGGAAUCGGGAUUUGAUGGUUCCAGUAGGUUCAUAUGGUGAUUUCGGACUUGGGCGUAUGUUUGGAUCGGGUUUUGAAUGACCCGAGUGUGUUUUGGCUCCUAAUAGUGAAGUUGGUUCUUGAAGAACUUUGAAGUUCUUUAAAUUUGGUUUAGGGUGGGUUUUAGUGAUAUCGAGGUGCGAAUUGAAUUUCAAGACCGGUAAUAGUUCUGUAAUGUCAUUUAAGACUUGUGUAUACGGUUAAAUUGGAGACUUCUAUUUUCGGUCAUACGACGCUUCGUAAGCACAUUUCCAAAAGCUCGUGGAUAUGGUCGAGUUUCACACCCGAGAGGCUACCGACGUCCAACCUCUGGGCAAUGCAGAUCGAUAAUUAUGGUGAAAGAGUGGGAAGUUCCCAAGGCAUAUAACUAAAAGCUGACCUAGUCUAUUUGGCUGGCUUAAGACCGUACCGUGACAUUAAUUAGCUGUAUCAACUAUGUAUAUUGGUAAUAAAUGCAUUUGUAUUAUGUUGGGAUUCCCCCUCAUAUAUAAAGGGGAUCCUUGUCAUUUUGCAGGGGACCUGAUGCUCAAUAUUGAAUAUAUAAGAACAUUCUAUCUGCUCUCUAACAUAUUCUCUUGAUCUCAUUACAUUCAUUUAUUGCUUAUAUUCAUUGUGUUCCAUUUAAUGUUCUUCAUUUAUUGCUUUUUAUUGGCCAUAAUGAGUCGUCAUAGAUUUUAUCAUAACUGUUAGUUUUCCAUCGACUACCCUCGAUAGUACAUAAGACUCGACCUCCAGGCCUAGAAUAAGCAAGCUCGAGGCCCCGAUCAUCAGCCAUUCGGUUCGGUUAUCAUCUUUUUUUCAAGCUCUUAUCUUGUUUUCGAGUCUUUCACCUAACAUAAAUUGCCUAACAACUAGCAUAAAAAUAGAUCACAUAUUUUUAGAACCACAAAAUCAAAUCUAAUUGUAAUUACCAUUUUAAAGGUAAACAGUUUGGCGCCCACCAUGGGGCUUAAAGUAAUAGUGAUUAUUUUCUUGCUAAUUAUUUUCACACUUUUUCUUGUCCAAAAUUGUCAUGACCCAAACCGAUGGUCCGUGAUGGGAGCCUGAGUCCUACCUAUCAAACACCCCUAAGCAUGUGUCUAAAAUAUGAACCUGAGUAACAUAUGCUGAAUUACAAAAAUAACAUACAAGAAGGAAGCUUGCCUUCAAGGCAUAUGUACGUAUACAGGCAGAAUACAGUGGGCGAGCCGGAAAGNNNNNNNNNNNNNNNNNNNNNNNNNNNNNNNNNNNNNNNNNNNNNNNNNNNNNNNNNNNNNNNNNNNNNNNNNNNNNNNNNNNNNNNNNNNNNNNNNNNNNNNNNNNNNNNNNNNNNNNNNNNNNNNNNNNNNNNNNNNNNNNNNNNNNNNNNNNNNNNNNNNNNNNNNNNNNNNNNNNNNNNNNNNNNNNNNNNNNNNNNNNNNNNNNNNNNNNNNAUUUUUAUGAAUAGAAUAAUUUAUAGAAACUGUGCAUUUUCUCGUUUCUUCAGUAAAAUUUGGAUCAUGCCAAAAUAAAGAAGGGAGGGCCUUAACAUACAUGUUCCUUGAAUUAUUUGAAUGAAAUGAAGCUUUCUGCUUAUGCGAAAUAUGAACGACACCUACUCUAGGACUGAAAUGAAUUUUUUUUUCCUGUUUUGUGAACCAAAGAAUGGUUUUAAGUUAAAGUUUAAACUUGAUCCACGUUUUUGAAGUUUUGCUUCGAGCUUCUGUUACUUUCAGAAAGGAUUUUUGAUAUUAAAUCAAGUUCCUUUCGAGACUUAUCUUGUUAAGUCACUUUAGACACUUAUACCUUUAUUUAAUGAGUCAUCUUCCUUAAUUAGUGGCCUUGUGCCACGUUUAUUUUGGGCAUAAAUAGUUAAGUUUUUUCCGCUUAUUAGUUAAUUAGGUAAUAUUCUGUUAUCCGGUAAUUAAUCAAUUACCCGCAUAAUUUAAAAAUUACCACACAUUACUUAUAAUUCUAUAUAUUUUAAAAUACUUCAUAUAUACUUUCUAUAUUAUACUAUCGUGGUCAUAUGGUAUCUUACAUGGUACUAGUUCAUAAUUGUCGGGUAUUAUCGCUCGACCCGUAAUUUAUUCGAAAUUGACCACUUUCAACGAAACUCGUUUUCUUUUAAUCCGUGUACCCCUUUAUCCUUCAUAACACUUAUUUAUCGCUUGUUAUAAAUAGCGUAAGUACGUUAACGUCAAGAUGAUCUCAUCCCCGAGUCAACGUUGGUUAACUGAAAACGAAAUUUUAACGUACCAAAAUGCAAGAUGUAACAUACUUCCCCCCCUUAGAAACAUUCGUCCUCGAAUGUUCAACUCCCCGUGAUCUAUAUAACUUUGGCAAGGUCACCUCUAUAAGAACACCACUACCAACUCUCCCCGUAGAAGCUUAAUAAUCCAACGAUACACAGGACCAUGAUUAUGAAUAAUGACAAUGGCCUCACAUGACCGACGAUAAUAACCAACAAAAGAAUUUAUACUCGUACCUUAUGAUUAUGACGUCUCAGUCGGACCCUUAUCUGGAGGAGGAAAUAAGUUGGAAUAUCUAGACUUCAUGUUUUCCUCGUCCUCCCAAGUCAUUUCUUCCACAUUGUUGUUUCUCCAAAUUACUUUCACGUAGGCUACCUCCUUAUUCCGUAGCUUGCGGAUUUAUCAGUCUAGGAUGGAAAUCGGAACUUCCUCGUAUGAUAAGUGUUCUGUAAUUUGUACAUAAUUCGUGGGUACCACUCGAGUAGGAUCGCCAAUGCAUUUUUGUGACAUAGAUACAUGAAAAAUCGGAUGGACAGACUCCAAUUCCGAGGGCAAUUCUAACUUAUAAGCUACUCGACCCAAUCUCCGAAUAAUCCUUUAAGGCCCAAUAUACCGUGGUCUAAGUUUGCGUUUCUUGCCAAACCUCAUCAAACCCUUCAUAGGCGAUACUUUUAAGAAUACCCAGUCAUCAACCCCGAACUCUAAGUCUCGUUGCCGCACGUCAGAAUAUGACUUCUGACGACUCUGAGCUGUCAAUAGUCUAUUCCAAAUCAACUUUACUUUUUCUAUGGCUUGCGAAACCAGGUCUGGCCCGUGUAAUCCAGAUUCUCCAACAACAAACCACCCUAUAAGCGACCUACACUUCUAUCCCUUAAGAGCUUCGUAUAGAUCCAUAUGAAUACUGGAAUGGUAACUAUUAUUAUAUGCGAACUCAAUAAGCGGCAGAUGAUCAUUUCAGCUACCUUUGAAGUCUAUUACACAAGCUCUUAACAUAUCCUACAGUGUUUGAAUAGUACGCUCAGCCUGUCCGUCUCUCUGGGGAUGAAAUGUUGUACUAAGACUUACUUGAGUCCCCAAUCCCAUUAUGAAGGACCUCCAUAAGGUAGCUGUAAAUUGAGCUCCUCUAUCUGAGAUAAUAGAUACAGGGACAACAUGCAGUCGUACUAUCUCCUUAAUAUAAAGCCUUGCAUAAUCCUCUGAGGAAUAUGUAGUUCUAACAGGCAGAAAAUGGGCUGACUUUGUAAGCCUAUCAACAAUUACACAUAUCUAAUCAAACUUACGUUGGGUACGAGGUAAGCCUACGAUGAAAUCCAUAUUGAUUACUUCCCAUUUCCAAGUCGGAAUCUCCAUAACCUGCAAUAAUCCACUGAGUUUUUGAUGCUCAACCUUAACCUGCUGAUAGUUAGGACACUGGGCAACAAAUUCUGCUAUAUCCUUUUUCAUUCNNNNNNNNNNNNNNNNNNNNNNNNNNNNNNNNNNNNNNNNNNNNNNNNNNNNNNNNNNNNNNNNNNNNNNNNNNNNNNNNNNNNNNNNNNNNNNNNNNNNNNNNNNNNNNNNNNNNNNNNNNNNNNNNNNNNNNNNNNNNNNNNNNNNNNNNNNNNNNNNNNNNNNNNNNNNNNNNNNNNNNNNNNNNNNNNNNNNNNNNNNNNNNNNNNNNNNNNNNNNNNNNNNNNNNNNNNNNNNNNNNNNNNNNNNNNNNNNNNNNNNNNNNNNNNNNNNNNNNNNNNNNNNNNNNNNNNNNNNNNNNNNNNNNNNNNNNNNNNNNNNNNNNNNNNNNNNNNNNNNNNNNNNNNNNNNNNNNNNNNNNNNNNNNNNNNNNNNNNNNNNNNNNNNNNNNNNNNNNNNNNNNNNNNNNNNNNNNNNNNNNNNNNNNNNNNNNNNNNNNNNNNNNNNNNNNNNNNNNNNNNNNNNNNNNNNNNNNNNNNNNNNNNNNNNNNNNNNNNNNNNNNNNNNNNNNNNNNNNNNNNNNNNNNNNNNNNNNNNNNNNNNNNNNNNNNNNNNNNNNNNNNNNNNNNNNNNNNNNNNNNNNNNNNNNNNNNNNNNNNNNNNNNNNNNNNNNNNNNNNNNNNNNNNNNNNNNNNNNNNNNNNNNNNNNNNNNNNNNNNNNNNNNNNNNNNNNNNNNNNNNNNNNNNNNNNNNNNNNNNNNNNNNNNNNNNNNNNNNNNNNNNNNNNNNAUGGAUAGAAUAACGAGAAUAGUGAGUUUCUCCCAUAACCUGCCGACGCGGCCCUACAACAUUAGGCACACAUAAUCUCCCUUGAUAUCUGAGGACCCCAUCUUCUGUAAUUUCAAAUGGUGUCUUCUCCUUCUGAAGAGUGGUAUCCCUAUAAUGAACUAGCACAUGAUCCUCGUAUUGGCGUUCCUUUACUUCAGUUACUAAAGAGGAUGUUGCCGUAUCCUGAAUAGUAAUUCCAAUAUCACCUGAGUCCAAUAACCAAAAUCCAAGAAGCUAGCUGAUGAACCUCAUGGGCUAUUCCCCUCUUUUCUGGCUGCAAAUACGAUAGGCUACCCAUAGAUCUACGGCUGAGGGCGUUGGCUGCUACAUUCGCCUUCCCCGGAUGGUAUAAAAUAUCCACGUCAUAGUCUUUAAGUAGCUCCAUCCACCUCCUUUGAUGUAGAUUCAAUUCCUUUUACUUGAAGAUGUAUUGGAGGCUCUUAUGAUCCGUAUAGAUAUCAACACGAAAUCCAUACAAGUAGUGCCUCCACAUAUUUAGUGCAUGCGUCACUGCAACUUUAUCUAAAUCGUGGGUCGGGUAGUUCUUCUUGUACUUUCUUAGUUGUCUAGAAGCAUAAGCCACAACCUUACCACGCUGCAUCAGCACACAACCCAACCCAAUGACUGAAGCGUCACAAUAGAUAACAUAACCAUCGGUCCCUUCUGGAAGCGUUAGAACUGGUGCUAACAUUAAUAUGUCCUUUAUUGCCUGGAAACUCCGUUCGCAACCAUCAGUCCAUUGAAACUUUGCUCCUAUCUGAGUCAACUUUGUCAAAGGUGUUGAAAAAGGAAGAAAAUCCCUCUACAAACCUCCUGUAAUAACCUGCCAAACCAAGAAAGCUACGAACCUCCGUCAGUGUUGUGGGCCUAGGCCAAGUCUUUACUACCUCAAUCUUUUGUGUAUCCACCCGGAUGCCCUCACCCGAAAUGAUAUUCCCAAGGAAAGUUACAAAUUUCAACCAGAUUUCACAUUUAGAAAAUUUUGCAUACAACUUGCCUUCUUGUAGAACUCUGACCGUAGUACGCAGAUGACCAGCAUGCUUAUCCACUGAAUGAGAAUACACCAAUAUAUCAUCAAUAAAUACAAUUACGAACAGAUCUAAAAAAGGCCUAAACAAACGGUUCGUCAAUUCCAUGAAUACUGCUGGGGCCAUUGGUGAGACCGAACGACAUAACCUGAAACUCAAAGUAUCCAUAUCUAGUCCUGAUUGCUGUCUUCGGGAUAUCUUCAUCCCUAACCUUUUCUUGAUGGUACCCGGACCUCAAGUCUAUCUUUGAAAAAUACUUGGCACCUUGCAACUGAUCGAAUAAAUCAUCAAUUCUCGGGAGUGGGUAUUUAUUUUUUAUCGUCACCUUAUUUAUCUGCCUACAAUCAAUAUACAUUCGNNNNNNNNNNNNNNNNNNNNNNNNNNNNNNNNNNNNNNNNNNNNNNNNNNNNNNNNNNNNNNNNNNNNNNNNNNNNNNNNNNNNNNNNNNNNNNNNNNNNNNNNNNNNNNNNNNNNNNNNNNNNNNNNNNNNNNNNNNNNNNNNNNNNNNNNNNNNNNNNNNNNNNNNNNNNNNNNNNNNNNNNNNNNNNNNNNNNNNNNNNNNNNNNNNNNNNNNNNNNNNNNNNNNNNNNNNNNNNNNNNNNNNNNNNNNNNNNNNNNNNNNNNNNNNNNNNNNNNNNNNNNNNNNNNNNNNNNNNNNNNNNNNNNNNNNNNNNNNNNNNNNNNNNNNNNNNNNNNNNNNNNNNNNNNNNNNNNNNNNNNNNNNNNNNNNNNNNNNNNNNNNNNNNNNNNNNNNNNNNNNNNNNNNNNNNNNNNNNNNNNNNNNNNNNNNNNNNNNNNNNNNNNNNNNNNNNNNNNNNNNNNNNNNNNNNNNNNNNNNNNNNNNNNNNNNNNNNNNNNNNNNNNNNNNNNNNNNNNNNNNNNNNNNNNNNNNNNNNNNNNNNNNNNNNNNNNNNNNNNNNNNNNNNNNNNNNNNNNNNNNNNNNNNNNNNNNNNNNNNNNNGUGUUUCCUUUCCACUCCAAAACAAGCUCCCCUAGAAAUUGAAAUCGAACUAUCUCUGAUCUACAAUCAACGUUGGCAUGACAAGAAGCCAACCAAUCCAUACCCAUUAUAACAUCAAAUAUUACCAUAUCUAACUCGAUUAAGUCUGCUAUGGUAGGUUGACCAUGAACUAUUAUUAUACAAACCCUAUAUACCCACUUAGCUAUCACUGAGUCCCUAAUAGGUGUAGACACCCCAAAAGGCUUAACCAAUUCAGGUUUUAUUUCAAACUUACUAGCAACCAACGGAGUAACAUAUGAUAAAACGGAACCUAGGUCAAUCAGUGCAUAUACAUCAUAGGAGGAAACUGAUAAUAUACCUAUAACAACAUCGGGCGAUGACUCUUGGUCAUGUCGUCCUGCCAACACAUAAAUGCGGUUUUGAGGGCUGCUCGAGCUAGAUGCUCUGCCUCUGCCUCUACCACGACUCAUUGGUGCUUGGGGACCUUGCCCAGGGGGGCGUACUGAUGAUGACAAACCAGCUACAGAUCCCACUGGCUGAGUUAUGCUUGCAUCACCUCUCAUCGGACAAUCCCUCAUAAUAUGGAUCGGAUAACAACAAGUAUAACAAAUACCUAAUCCCAUAUGGAACUACCGGUAUACUUCUUACCACAUUGAGUACAUCAUGGCAAGGGUAGCCUCAUCUGAUUUGACUCACCCCUAUACUGAGAACUUAAGGCCGUGAAAUUCUGACCAGACCCUGAAUAUGUGGAACGGUCGAAUCUCUUACUACCAAACUGAGGGGGAGCACUAGCCGAGGGUUGGGAUGGAUACCUCGAGUAUUGCUGCCUCUGACCACUUCGAAACUCACCAGAAGGACCAGAAGAUCUCGCUCUCUUAUUCUAGGCCCUAUCAUGCUCACGAUCGGCCCUCUGUUUCUAUUUACGCUCCUCUACACCUUGAGCGUAUGCUUGAAUACGAGAAAUAUCCAUGCCUGGUUGAAGUGAGACGGACAUACAAUCGUUAAGCAAGUGAGGCUCUAAUCAUAUCACGAGUCGGUGAACCCGAUCCUCCAUCUUAGAUAUUAUAGUGGGAGCACACCUAGCCAAUAAAUUAAAUUGAAGACUAUACUCCCAAACACUCAUGUUACCCUGAUUAAGGGUCAAGAACCUAUCAACUCUGGCUCGCCUAAGCUCUGGUGGCAGAUAAUGACGAAGAAAAGCAUCUGUAAACUCCUGCCAUACCGCUGGAGGGGCAUCCUCACCUCUGGACAAUUCCCAAGACUCUUACCAAUUAACUACAACAUCUCGGAGUCUAUAGGAAGCUAGCUCAACUGACUUAGUCGUAGUGGCCUUCAUUACCUAUAAUGCCCUUUGCACUCUAUCAAUAAAUACCUGAGGGUCCUCGUUUGGAUCUACUCCAGUGAAUAUCGGAGGGUCUAAAUUAAUAAAGUCACGAACCGUCGCACUCACGUACUUAUUUGCGUGACAAAUACCUACUUUCUAAAGCCGAGCUUGUGCAACUACUAAUUGGGUCAAUAACUAAAUAGCAUCUCUCAUCUCUUGACCCGGCGCAUCCGGCUGAGGUACAGAUUGUUCAGGGGCGGGCACUGGAGCUGGUUCCCCUCGGAGCUCUUCUAGAAUGGGCGGGGUAUGUGAAGUAUGAGAUGGAACAUCAUCAUGAGAAUCUCCCCGAGCCCUUGUACCUCGUGGCGCUCGACUAGUAGUCUCACCGGCCACAGACUUUCCCUUAUGGGUGGUCGUACUCUUUGGAGGCAUUGCUAAAAAUAUAGCAUAUUAUUAGGUGUAUGAAUUCUUGUAUCACACGAUCCGAGAUAAAAAGAGAGGAUAACAUCCUAUAUGUCUUGUAGCCUCUUGUCUAUAAGUGUGGUGCACGACACACCCAUAAACAAGACUCUACUAGACACGGUCUAUAGACAACCCUAGGACAGAACUGCUCUGGUAUCACUUUUGUCACAACCCAAACCGAUGGGUCGCGAUGGGAGCCUGAGCCCUAGCUGUCAAACACCCCUAAGAAUGUGUCUAAGAUAUGAACCUGAGUAACAUCUGCUGAAUUACGAAAAUAACAUACAAAGAGAAAGCCUGCCUUCUAGGCAUAUGUACGUAUACAGGAAAAAUAUAGUGGGCGAGCCGGCAAGGCUGCUAUAGACAACUAUACAUCCAAAACUGAAAGCCGACAAGGCUACAUACAACUCAACUAGAUAUAUUAUCUAUAGACCUCUAAUAGAAACAUACAUGUACAAAGACGGUACUAAGUCACGUUAUACCCAUAUAUAUAUAUAUAUGUGUGUGUGUGUGUGUGUGUGUGUGUGCUCUGAUCAGCUGACGGUUUCAUCUCCUUAGGAUACCUGAUCAGCGAGAAUUGGCGUGCUCCACUUGAUCCGGAACUGCUUUGAUUUUGGUACGAUACGUUUAUAUAUAUAUAUAUAUCGUAUCAAAAUCAAAGCAACUCCGGAUCAAGUGGAGCACGCCAAUUCUCGCUGAUCAGGGAUCCUAAGGCGGGGGACCGUCAGCUUGCCUACCUGCACCUGCGAGCAUGAAAUGCAGGCCCCGUAAAAUAGGCCAUCAGUAUGAAAAAUGUACUGUGUAUGUAAGGCAUGAAAAUCAGUACAUAAAAUACAUAGAUGAAACAUAGAAUAAGGAAACACAUCUUUAAAUCUGAAUAACUUUAUAAAUUCUGAAAUGUUUAUAAUGUCAUGCACAUGCGUAUAAAUGUCGUGUCAUGCAUAGGUAUGGGUGUACGUAAUAUCAUAAAGCCACAGAGGACAUCUCAUCAUAUCAUCUCGACCAUUGUGGGCAACAUCAUCAACAUAUAUCAGCUUAUCAAGUGGUGAUGCGUAUAUAAUGUCGUAACCUUUUCCCAUAUCUCGUAUACAUAUAUUUACAUAUAUACACGUAUAUAACGUCAUCUGGUCAUGGGUCAAUGCACAUGUAUAAAUGAGUAAAAUGCAUGAAAAAUACGUAAUAAUCUCAAUAUUCCUUCCCGAUAAACUUUUCCAACUGCGUAUUAUUUUGAGACCCAUGAAUAGAAGAUAAUAAUAAUUCUCAUGGGGAAUCAAAAUUAUAGACACCCCUACUAUUUCUAUAAAUAGAGUAAUUUAUAAAAACUGUGUAUUUGCUUGUUUCUUCAGUAUAAUUUGGACCAUUCUAAAAGAAAGAACGAAGGGCCUUAACAUACCUAUUCCUUGAAUUAUUUGAACGAAAUGAAGCUUUCUGCUUCUGCGAAAUAUGAACGGCACCUACUCUUGGACUGAAACGAAAUUGUUUUCUGUUUUGUGAACCAAAGAAUGGUUUUAAGUUAAAGUUUAAACUUGAUCCACAAUUUUUAAGUUUUGCUUCAAGCUUCUGUUACUUUCAGAAAGGAUUUUUGAUAUUAAAUCAAGUCCCUUUCAUGACUUAUAUUGUUAAGUCACUUUAGACACUUAUACCUUUAUUUAAUGAGUCAUCUUCCUUAAUUAGUGGCCUUGUGCCACAUUUCUUUUGGGCAUAAGUAGUUAUAUUUUGUCCGCUUAUUAGUUAACUGGUUAAUGUUGCGUUACCCGGUAAUUAAUCAAUUACCCGCGUAAUUUAAAAAUUACCAUAAAUUACUUAAAAUUCUACUUAUUUUUAAAAUACUUCAUAUAUACUUUAUAUAUUAUAGUACCGUGGUCAUAUGGUAUCUUGCAUGAUACAAGUUCAUAAUUAUUCGGUAUUAUCGCUCGACCAGUAAUUUAUUCCAAAUUGGCCACUUUUAACAAAACUAGUUUUCUUCUAAUCCGUGUACCCCUUUAUCCUUCAUAACACUUAUUUAUCGCUUAUUAUAAAUAGCGUAAGUAUGUUAACAUCAAGAUGAUCUCAUCCCCGAGUCUACGUAGUUAACUGGAAACGAAAUUUUAAUGUACAAAAACACGAGAUAUAGCAUUGAUAUUUUGAUUUCAGGUGAUAAUAUCUAACUCAGUAAAUGCAUAUGAAAACAACAACCUUGAAGACCAUGGAGAAAAUGGUGUGGAUGUUCCAGGUGUUGGUGUACAACCACGAAACCCUGAGAAUGCACCAGAACCAAUUCCCGUGGACGUGGUCUCGCGCAAUGCCCAACACGUAGAAAUAAGCUCCCAUACCAACAUGAGCAUACAACAAGAUAAUCAACAAGAAUCACAAAAAACCCCGACUCAGAAAGAACAAGGGGUUAGCCUUGACGUCAUCUUCAAAAUGUUACACGCACAACAGCUGGUGAUUGCUCAGUUGCAAAGCCACCAAAAGACUCCCAGCAUGGUAGCUCGAGAAACGGCUCCCCGAGCCGAGCAGGUACCAGAAAGAUCAAGCAAAAUGGGUCGGUAGCCGACCCUGCCAUCAUAAAAAUGAUUGAGGACCUCACAAAGAGGAUUGAGUCAGGCGAGAAGAAGAUAGAAGCCAACGACAAGAAGGUCGAGACAUACAAUUCUAGGGUCGAUCAAAUUUCGGGCGCACCCCUGAUUCUGAAAGGUGUAGAUUCGAAGAAGUUUUUACAGAAGCCAAUCCAACAAGAAGCGGCCCCAAAACCCAUUCCAAAGAAGUUCAGAAUGCCUGACCUUCCUAAGUACAACGGAACCUCGGACCCCAACGAGCCCGUCACUGCUUACACUUGUGCAGUGAACGACAAUGACCUAAAGGACGACGAGAUCGAGUCCGUCCUACUGAAAAAGUUAGGAGAGAUGCUUUCAAAAGGGGCAAUGAUGUGGUAGCACAACCUGGCCUCAAACUCGAUAGAUACAUUUUCCAUGCAGGCAAAUUAUUUCAUAAAGGCACAUGUUGGUGCCAUCAAAGUAGGUACAAGGAAAUAUGACGUCUUCAAAAUCAAGCAAAGGGAGAACGAGAUGCUGCGAGAAUUCAUGUCUUGCUUUCAAAUGGAACAAAUGGAACUACCACCGGUCUCCGACGACUAGGCGGUGCAGGCUUUAACUCAAGGUUUGAACAAGCGAAGCUCAAUAGCUUCGAAGCAGCUGAAGCAGAACUUAGUCAAAUAUCCCGUUGUGACUUGGUCGGACGUCCACAACUAAUACCAAUCAAAGAUCAGGGUCGAAGACGACCAACUAGGAGCUCGUUCGGGCUCGGUAUAUCCUAGCAGGCUUCCGGCAAAGGAGUCAAAGCCGAAUAAAGAGAGAUACCAGCCAUACACUGAAGAUAGAAGAAACGCCCCAAGGUACAACAUACCCCGCAAUGAUCGGAGGAUGGACCGAGGCUAGAAUCCUUGGGGUCUUGUUAACAAAGCUGGAUUCGAUAGGCACACAUGGCCGACGGAGGCACCCCACUUGUCAUAAUACAACUUCAACAUUGAAAUUUCAGAUAUCGUAUACGCCAUCAGUAAAAUCAGAGACACUAGGUGGCCAAGGCCUGUACAAUCAGAUCCUUUGCAAAGAAAGCAUAACUUAGUGUGUGAAUUUCACCACAUGCACGGACACAUGACUGAGGAUUAACGGCAACUCCGGGAAGAAGUAGGCCGACUACUCAGAAAAGGUCACCUCUAAGAAUUCCUCAGUGACCGAGCCAAAAAUCAGUUCAGGGAAAGAGAGGCGACCAAGAAGAAUGAAAUAAAUGAGCCACAAAAUGUCAUCCAUAUGAUCUUAGGAGGCAUCGAUGCUACACAAGAACCCAUAAUCAGAAGAACAAAGAUAUCCAUCACUAGAGAAAUGCGAACUUGGGGUUACAGACCCGAGGAUGCUCUUGCAUUCAGCAACAAGGACAUCGAGACCUUGUCUCAGCCUCACAACGACGCACUGGUAAUCUCUUUCCUUGUAAAUACAUUUCAAAUUAAACGUGUUCUUGUGGAUCCAGGUAGCUUGACCAAUAUUAUCAGGUUGAGGGUGGUAGAGCAUCUCGGACUAUUUGACCAAAUCAUGCCCGCCUCUCGAUUCCUCAUUGGAUUCAACAUGGCGAGUGAAACAACAAAAGGGGAAAUCACCCUCCGAGUCAACGUGGCCAGCACAACCCAAAAUGCCAAAUUCUAUGUUAUCGAAGGAGACAUGAGAUGCUUUGCCUUGUUCAGGAGGUCGUGGAUACACUGCAUGAGAGCAGUACCAUCCACCCUCUAUCAAAUGAUGAAAUUCCUGACAAACAAUAGGGUAAAAACUUUCUACGGGGAACAACAUGCGGCAAAAGAGAUGUUCGUUGUGCACGACCUGAUACCUACACCAACACCUCCACCAUCAAAGGAGUUGAUGGAUAAGCAAACAGUAAGAUAGUGGUAACAAGCUACAUUCUUUGCUAUGUCCGACUAAACAAAAUGAAGGAUUGUACCGAGUCCUCAUAACAAACGAUUUAAUCACAUUGAGGUCCGAAGCAUCGUUAGCACUAAGGUAUGGUCGUCUCCCUUUUUCAGUUACAUUUUAUGCUAACCUAAAGGCAAGUAUCCGAUCAAAAUGGCCGAAAUGCUUUCCAACUCGAAGUCCUUAGGUUCCAAAAGCGUACGUUGCACUCUUUUCCUUUGACUGGGUUUUUAUCCCAAGUAGGGUUUUACCGCCAAGGUUCUUAAUGAGGAAACAUCUAUAUGUUACCUACGGAAGACUCAACAUGUAUUUAAGGCUUCUUUUGAAAUCAACCUUGAAUACUGGGGGGCAUCCCCCCGGAAGGUCACCUACUCGUAGAAGCCAAGAUGCGCUAAAUGGGGUCUCGAUAGGAAAAUAAUGUACCGGGCCAAACGGUCGAACGAACAGUGUCUGUAUAGAAUAAUCGAGCCCUUAAUAGAAAAAAUGUGUAUACUUGUACCAAGUAAUUAAAGAAUACUUUCCAAAGUGUUUCACAUUUUAGAGAAGCUCGGUAUUUUUGCAAUACCGGCUCCGGAGCCAAAAACGUCCCAAAAACUCGGGGAUUGGCAUCAACAACUCGAAGUUGUAUGACCCCCGGGUCAGAGCUUCAAACUUAUAAGCCGUCAGUGAAGCAACAUUAAUAUCACAAAAUGACUCCAGAGCCAAAAAUGUCCCGAACAUUCGGGGACUGGCGUCGAAAACUCAAGGCCACAUGACCUCCGGGUCGGAAACACCGUAUUUGUAAGCCCCUAAUGAGGCAAUACAAAGUUUAGAAGUAACGGCUCCCAAUCCAAGAAACUCUCGAUGACUCGGGGACUGCCGCCAAUCGCACCCCCAUCGACUUAUCAAAACAUAAAGUCGUAAGACCACAUGCGGGCACCCUCGGUCUCGUAAGACCUAUAUAAGGAAACAACAAUAUCUGUUAGNNNNNNNNNNNNNNNNNNNNNNNNNUGAACCAUACUUGUACCAAAUAAUCAAAACUGUAAGACCUCAAAGGCAUGUAAAAUUUGUAGGACCUUCAAAAGGCAUAAUCCCAAUAUUAAUGUUAAGGCUAUAUAUUGAACUUAUAAGACCCUAAAAAGUCAUACCCUCGAUAUAGAUUCCGAAACUACUUCACUCGGGAACUAAAAGGCUCCGACCAAUCACAAUGAAUAUGGUCACAAGGGUGUACCAGCCAAACUAACGUGACUCGGGAACGCUUGACCGUCGCUAUAAAAUCACAGACUUUCAAUUACUUCAAAAAUACUUCAAAAAGAACCGAUUAAACAGGCUACCCUUGACAUAGGAAAAAGAGCUUCGACCAUGUCAGCUCCAAACUAUAGGCUUCGAGAUACUCAGCCACCGAGCCAAACAUCCCGAGGUGCUCGAUCAUUGCCAUAUAAUGGCUCACAAUCGAGGUUUUUGCCAAACCGUUGAAGAGUCAGGCAAACAGAACUUCAAAAGUCCUUAACGAGGGAAAAAUAAAGCCUGUAUUAGAGGUCGUACUGACCCAAUGUGUAAGAGACAUUGCUACCAGCCUAUAUAAAAGGUCGUACUAAUCCAAUGCGUAAGAGCCACUACCGUCAGCCCAUAUAAAGUCCGUAUUGACCUAAAGCGUAAGAGCCACUGCUCCUUGCCCAUACUAGAGGUCGUACCGACCCAAUGCGUAAGAGCCACUGUCGCAAACCCAUAUAAAAGGUUGUACCGACCAAAUGCAUAAGAGCCGAAGGGUCUGCUUUAAAUUCAAAAACUUGAGGGUCAAAUGACCUUGAGUAGAAACCCGACUCGGAGACUGAACCCAAAAUAGUUAACUAAAUAUUCUUAAGGGCAUAAGUAUAAGCACAAAGUUCUUUGAAAGCACUAUACAUAAAACAAGAAAGGAAAGGCCAGCAUCCUUCUCGCCAUAUUUGGCAUUAGACAGAAGGAUCUUAACACCAUAUUCUUCUGCCUCCGCCUGCUUUAUCUAUUGUGAGAGGUCAAAGCCCCUGGAAUGUAUUUCCUCAAGGGUUUCCCUCCGAGAUUUAGACCUCACGUACUCUUUAUUCCUUCUCUCCUGGUCGAGACCCCCCUUAGCUCAGCAUGAGCAUCGACAGCGUCCUUAAAAUAGACAUCCACCUUCUUAUCAGCCUUAGUUCGGAUUACUUUGGCUUCAACCCGAGCAUCAAUAACUUUGGCCUUCACCUUCAGGAGCUCAGACUUGAGCCUUGAAAUCAUGUCCAUUCGAACCAAACUAUUUUCAUGAGCAUUGCGAAGUUGAACCUCGAGGGUGGAAUCCUUGGCCAAAGUGUCUUUCUUAGUCAACAUAUGGGUGUCCACCCGAGCCUUUAGCUCGUCAAGAUCGCACUUGGCUUGACCAACUUCGCUCCUAAGACUUUCCAGCUCGUCCGUCUUUUUUUGCAACUGAAAUAAAAUAGACAUUAGCCUCAGAAGGUAGAAGAAGAAACACGCACUCUCUCGAAGAAAACAUUACAUAGUCCUCGAGGUAGCUUUCGUAGUUCAGACUUCGACUCACCUCAUACUACAAGUGUGCCAACUCAUCUUCCUGUUCAUCGAAGAGAAGCCUGAGGGAUUUCUCCGCAUCCAUGGCUUCUCACAACAUGGUCUCAUGAAAAAGCAGCUUGGACUUGAGCUUGCUAAAAGCCUAUGAAAGAGAAACUCAAUAAGAGGGUAAAAAUUACAAAACGACGAAAUCAACACGGAUGGCCAAAACUCACCUCAGAAUAGAGCCACUGAGCUUAUUCGAAAGCUAAGCGCACAUCUACUAGUCUGGCCCUACCUACCCCAGUAGAACCACUCCCUGUUGGGGCAUAAUUGCCUAGUAUAUGCGACCCCUAGCUUCGAACAUCCCUCAAAGUACCUUCCAUGGGAGAAUAAGUCGGUGGCAGAAAACCUUCAUUCCUCGAGGUGCCUUCGACAAUAAAAGAAGAUGACAACGGAGGUGGAACCGUUUUUCUAAAGCCAGAGAUCUCGGGUGUAGUAGGCUCAUCCAACACGUCCUCUCCGAGCCCCCGACCUGGACUCAUCUUGCUAUAAGCACCAUUUCCCUGCAAAGGCCCUUUUUGCUUAUUAUUAUCAUUCCCUAGCCUAGAAGCUGGCAAUCCUUCUCCCUCUCCGAGAGGGCAUGAUCUUGCCUCAAAGGUCUCCCCGAUGCCUUCAAUGACGGGGUUACUACACGUAAAAAUAAACUGCCUUUCAACCAAAAAAAUAGGGAGCAAAUCACAUAGCAUGUACUGUGGCAUUUGGCCUCCCAUCUUUCCUUAGACAAAGCGCACCACUUACGCUCAUUAUAAGUUGAGUGAUUCGCCAACUUCCGAGCCCAAUCCAUCAGGUUAGGGACCUCGCAUGGCAUCUAUGAAAUUGCUGCAGAAAGGGAAAGGAAGGAGCAUUUACAUAACCCACCUACGCCAUAAGAAAAACUACAAAGGCACAAGUAUAUCACUUACGUGUAAAAUUCCAUUCCUCAGGAAAUGGUAGAAACUCCACAAGGAUAAUAUUGACAGUUCUUACUUGGUUGAAUCGGCUCAUCCAUCCCUAAUCCCCCGUCUUCUUCAUCAUCAACCUGGUGCUUUCGACAGAAGUCGAGCACAACCCUAUCAGGGGGCCCAAUGUAAAGGGGUGUGUGUACACGUUCAAAAACCCCUCGGCAAGAUCCAUGAUGCUCUUUUUCGGGGAAGGUGCCCACAGUACUACCUUUUCCCCCCGUCCGCAAUCUUUCCUCACUAAAUCAAGGUGACCCUCUCCUAUUAUAGAAAUAAACUUCGAGGAAUACUCCCAAUGACCCUGACCAUUUUGGUUCAGAAAGCCUUCAAGGGCGGAACUCCGCUCUCCUUGCCGAGCGGACCCUGGUGUAGCAGCCAUAAUAGUGGUACAACUAGGGAAUUGGAGCGGGAAUUCGAGCAAGGGGUUCAAAGUUAAAAUGGUGAAGGGUCUAACACAAGAAAGAAAAACUCUAUAGAGGAGGAUAACUACUCGGAAUAGCUGAAUCCUCAAAAGAAGGAAUACAACCCUAUAUGUGGACAAAGCGGCGACUAUCCACCUGCCUUAAAGGCCAAUUAAAAAUGUUGUCCAAGCCAUUUUUCGCUUUGGGAAGAUGUACCUGUGCAAUUGCCUUGGUUGCUUCAUAACCUUGACAUGCAAUUAACGCUGCCAUAUGAUAUUUCGGGGAUCAAAAGCCCUCGCAUCAUUACAAGCCUCGAGAUGGUACCCGAUCUCGAGGACCUCUGUCAAGAAGAAGAUAGGCUCUAAGAAGCCGUUGACAUCUUUACAAGCCUCGAUAUUGUACCUGAUCUCGAGUACCUCCACCAAGAAGAAUGUAUGCUCUAAGGAGCCAUUAAUAUCAUUAUGAGCCUCGAGAUGGUACCCGAUUUCGAGGACCUCUACCAAGAAGAAUGUAUGCUCUAAUGAGCCAUUAAUAUCAUUAUGAGCCUCGAGAUGGUACCCGAUCUUGAGGACCUCCACCAAGAAGAGUGUUUGCUCUAAGGAGACAUUAAUAUCUUUACGAGAAUCGAGAUGGUACCCGAUCUCGAGGACCUCCACCAAGAAGAAUGUAAACUCUAAGGAGCCAUUAAUAUCAUUACAAGCCUCGAGAUGGUACCCGAUCUCGAGGACCUCCACCAUGAAGAAUACAUGCUCCAAGGAGCCAUUACUAUCAUUACAAACCUCGAGAUGGCACCCGAUAUCGAGGACCCCUGUCAAAAAUAAGACAAGCUCUAAAAACCCAUUCAUAUGGGCUUGACCUAGAGGUGGUACCCGACCCUGAGGAUUUCUACUAUAGUGAGCGCUGACUAUUUUCCCGAUUCUCCAGACCCCGGGCUACCUAAUCUAGAGUCAACUUUUACUUAAAAACUACCAAUAAAGCCUUUGGGAUAUCCUUUGCCUUCGGAUCAAGUUAAACGCUCUUUUGGUUACUUUAACCUCAGGGUUAUCCGAAUCCGGAUGUACCAUCAUCUAGGGUCUAUCUAUAACUCCUUGAGGCUAUCUUCAGUCUCAGUUCAAGACAAGUUUUCUGGUCGCCCGGGCUCGGACGAACUUUCGCCCGAGGACGAUCUACUGAAGCCUACAGGCUAUUUUUUAGUCAUAGAAGCCCAAGCAAAUUAUCCCCCUUCAAGGACUAUCGACGGGGUCUGAAAGUCUAAGUUUUGUUCUGAACGUUUGAAGCCCUACUCUUAUUCAAUUCGAAGUCUAGGGUCCCGAUGGCCUCAGCUCAUAUUAAUUCAAUUUGGGCUCAGUCCGCGGAAUGACAAAGGGCUACACUGGAUAUUGUAUUGGCCAAUCAAGGAUCGGGGAAACACCUACACCCGGAUCCGGUAUUCAGACCAGUCGGUAGAGUCAAGCACUUAGAUUCCUCAUAAACACGAGUAUAAGGAAAUCCGGCAUAAAUAAGGUACAAAAUUAAAGAAACACCUUUUCAUUAAUAAACGAUGAUUACAAAAUGCCCAUGAAUGGUCCUUACACAUGAUUACAAAAUCCCACGAAGGGUCCUUACACAGAAACAGAGAAGCAAAAGAGAAAAGAAAAAAUGUACAUAACAAUUACAAGCCUAAUCUGCUUUCGGGGGUACAUCCUCAGGGCAGUGUCUUCGAGAACCAUUCCCUCGUGGACUCCUCUCGAUCUUUCCAAUGGUAUCUUCAAGAUUAAAGAAGAGGUAUAAAAUGAUGAGGAAGAAGAAGAAAAAGAUGAGGAAGAAGCAGUAAAAGAUGAAGAAGUGGCUGGGUGAAAAAUCUGGUGAGUAUGAGUCUCGCCAACACUACUAUUGUGAAGCCACUUCUUGAGACAUUGCACCGGUGCAGGGUGCAACAGUUAGUAGAUAGAACCACCUCACUCCAUGGAAAGCAAAAGGAGCCAGAAGCCAUACCGAGUAAUUAGGGGAGAUGAGUAGAAGUUCGUAGUAUGCAUACCCAUUAAUACAAAUAUAAUUUGAGAUUUCUCUCUCAUUACCUGGGGCCAACAACAACAAUAACAACAACAAAUCAGUACAAUCUUGCUCGGUAAGGGAAAUCUUUGGAAAAAGGAUGAAGAGAAGAAAGGGGUAAAAGGUUUUUGAAGAACAUUUGAAUGAAUUUUAGUUCAAGAAGGCUUCCAUUUAUAGAAAGGGUGGAAGUGUAAUCGACAUCGCCAUCAAUAUCUUUGAAAGAUGUACCGACAGCCACAAUCCAUGAAUUUUUGGGAACUGGAACGACAACGAUAUUAUUGCUUUGUAGAAUAUUAAUCGGCAGUACAUUGAAUGAUUUUAGAAAGGUGAACCGAUGGGACACCUCAGUUAUCACAAAGGCUUGCUAAUAAGUACGACAUCAUUGCGGGAAGUUUGAAGGGAUGUAUAUCAAAGUCAUUUCUUAUCGUUUCACUCUAAGAAAUGCGGGGACUAUCUGUAUAUGGUAAAAUUGGAGGGUCCUAUUUUCGGUUAUACGAUGCUUCGUAAGCACGUUUCCAAAAGCUCGAGGCUAUGGUCGAGAUUCACACCUGAGAGGCUACUGAUGUCCAACCUCGGGGCAAUACUUAUCGAUAAUUUUGGUGAAAGAGUGGGAAGUUCCCAAGGCAUAUGACUAAAAGCUGACUAGUCUAUUUGGCUAGCUCAAGCCUAUACCGUGGCAUUAGUUAACUGUUUCAACUAUGUAUCUUGGUAAUAAAUGCAUUUGUACUAUGUUGAGAUUUCCCCUCAUAUAUAAAGAGGAUCCUUGUCAUUUUGUAGGGGACCUGAUGCUCAAUAUUGAAUAUACAAGAACAUUCUCUCUGCUCUCUAACAUAUUUUCUUGAUCUCAUUACUUUCAUUUAUUGCUUAUACCUUGCUCUUUAUUUAUCGCUGGUUAUUGGCCAUACAGAGUCGUCAUUGAUUUUAUCAUAACUAUUAGUCAUCCAUCGAAUACCCUCGGUAGGACAUCAGACUCGACCUCGAGGCCCCGAAUAAGCAAGAUCGAGGCCUCGAUUAUUAGCCAUUCAAUUCGGUUAUCACCUUGUUUUCAAGCUCGUAUCUUGUUUCCGAGUCUUUCACCUAGCAUCAAUUGCCUAACAACUAGUAUAAAAAUAGAUCACAUAUUUUUAGAACCACAAAAUCAAAUCUAAUUGAAAUUAUCAUUUUCAAGGUAAAUAACUUGCACGCAAAAUUUGGUGUCAUUUCGAGUAGUGUAAGGUGAUUCGGCGCAUUCGGAGAAUUUGGAAAACUUAGAGUUCAAAGUUUGAUUCAAUUUGGUUUUGGGGUAUGAUUUUUGGUUUCGUUGUUGUUUUUCAUAUUUUGAGAGUUUAAGCAAGUACGUAUUAUGAUUACAGACCUGUUAGUGCCUUCGGAUGGGGUCUCGAGUGGCUCGGGUAAGUUUUGGAACCCUCAGAGAAAUAUGCAAGAAACUAGAAAUGCCCAGUUCUGGUUUCCUUCUUCAUGAACGCGAAGAGACCAUCGCGUUCGUGUAGGAAUGGAUGGGGAUGGGGGAAAAAAUGUGCUACGCGUUCGCGAUAGCUAGUCCGCAUUUGUGAAGAUCUGGGGCCAGUGACCUUUGCGUUCGCGUGAGGCGAUUCGCGUUCGAGUAGAGUAGCUGGAUUGGGCUGGGGGCCGCUUUGUUCUUCGCAUCCGCUUGUUUAGUCUAAAGUUGGGGUUUAGAUCUUUUAAGAUUUGCUAAUAUUUCGUUCUUAAUUUUGUUAAAAAUGUUAUCUAUGUUUCCGCAUGUCUAUCUAUGAAUAUUUUUUGCGAUUUUCAUUAAUAAGUUUUCCGCCUAAUUUAUUCUUCCCUAAAAUUAAGGCUCAGAUCUUUAAGAUAUAUUCUAGUUCUAUUUUGGUUGAAUACCUUCUGUAAUGUUUCCAUGUAUCUAUCUAUGUGCAUCUCUAUAUGAUUUUUCAUAGAUAUUUUUGACUAAUUUUUUACUUACCCUAAACUUAGGGUUCUCAGAUGUUCUUAAAUCAGACCAAAAUUAGUUUGACUCUUUGAUUUUUAGUGCUAUUUGGGUCUAUAUUCAUCUUAUGUCAUUGCUUUGUGUAUAUCCUGGUACUAUGGUUUUCCUUAAAACUAGGCUUCGAAACUUUUACUAAUUUUUUGAUACUCUUUCCUUUCUCAUAUGGGACUAAUAUAUUCCUUAUUUCUGUUCAGUCUACCAUGUUUUGCCUUGAAACUGAUUGUUAAUUGAUUCCAUAUGAUAUUUUCCUUAUUCUAAGUGUUACUCACCUAAUUACACUCCAUUAUUCCGUGUUAAUUGACUGAACUCUAUACUAUUUGUCCUUAAACUAGACUUCAAUUGAUUUUGUGAUUAUUUUCUUCCCUUGUUUAUGUGUUUGAUUACUUCCCUUAUUUGUUCACUUAGUUGAACACUAUAUAAACCCUUUCCCCCUCUUCCCUUAGGACAGGACUCGAACUCUCACACACUCACUAAAACUUGGUUCUUUCACUCUGAUUCUGUGCUCAUUGUUUCUGGUCUUGGCCGACUGAAAACCAAGGCCAAAUUAUUGUGGAACUUAACUGCUGUGGCAUAUUUACCUACUUUCUUACUUAACUGGUAUGCCUUAAUCCUUUGUAAUUUCAUUCUAUAUGUUUUGCUCAACUAGCAUGUUUUAAUUCCAAGUAUGAUUCUGUCGUCCUUAUGUGAUUCUAUGAUUUCAUCCAGCCUAUGAGUGACACUGUUAGUUUAAGAUUAACUAGUUUGAAUGAUGUGAAUCCUCUUAUAAGUUAGCAUAAUGUCUAAAUUUGUUUCAUGCACUAUUUGUUAGUAUUACACUUGUUCUGAACUUAAUAUCUCUAUAAUACUAUUAGCAUGAAGUUGGUUCAUUAAUCCUAACUCUACAGAUUUUCGUAUGUGUUUGGCUAACGUAACUAUUUUUGCCUAAUUGCUUCUGUGACUAAACAAUAGUUGUCUUAAAUGUCAGCAUUCUCCAUAGUGUUAUUAAGUCUCUCUUAUGAAAUAACAUGUUCAAAGCUAUAUACUUUAUAUACUUUGUUGUUUCUUUCUGAAUGCAAUCCUGUGUUUUAAACCUGGUUUCUUCUGAAUUCAAACUAUUUUAAAACCUGCCCCUACCUAUCUUAUGUACUAAUUUUAAAACCCUCACUCUUAGUCCCUUAGGUUCUUGUUUCCCAUGAAAAUGGUAAUAACAAUAAAAUUUGAUUUUGUGAUUCUAAAAAUACGUAAUUUAUUUUUAUCAUAGUUGUUAGGCAAUGGAUGCUAAGUAACAGGUUAGAAAGCAAGAUUAUAUCUUAGAGACAAUAUGAUAACCGAACCAAACGGCUGGAGAUCGGGGCCUCGAGCUGUCGUAUGUGAGGCCUCGAGGUCGAGUUGGGUGGCCGCCUUAGAACGAUCGAGGGAAGAAUAACAGGUAUGAGAGCUACAAUGAUAGCUCUUUAUGAUCAAUGAUAAGCAAUAAUUGAUGAACAAUAAAUAGAACACAAUAAAUAUAAUCAAUAAAUGGAAGUAAUUAGAUCAAGAGAAUAUGUUAGAGAGCAGAUAGAAUGUUCUUGUAUAUUUAAUAUUGAGUAUCAUAUGUUUACAAAAUGACAAGGAUCCCCUUUAUAUAUGAGAGAGAAUCCCAACAUAGUACAAAUGCAUUUAUUACAAAGAUAUGGGGCUGGUACAACCAUUUAAUGCCUUGAUUCGAGUCUGAACUAGCCUAUUAGACUUUGUCAGCUCUAGUUACGCGCCUCGGGAACUCCCCAAUUUCACCAUAACUGUUGGCUUGUACUGCCCCAAGGUCGAGCGUCGAUAUCCUCGGGGGUGAAUCUCGACCAUAGUGUCGAACAUUUGAAACGUGCUUACGAGGCAUUGUAGCGACGAAAAGUUGGACCCUCCGAUUUUACUUCACACAGAUAGCCCCCGCGUUUCUUAUAGUGAAAUUGAUAAGAAACGGCUCUGACACUGAUCUCCUCGAGCCUCUUGUGACGAUGUCACACAUAUGACGUCAGCUUUUGUGAUAGCUGAGACAUCCCAUCGAUGUGUUUUUCCUAGGAACACUCAUUGCACUAUCAGUUUAUUUUUUCAAAUUAAUAACGCCGCCGCCAAUCUGUUUCUCAAAAAUAUUGAUUACGCCUGCCGAUACGUUUUCCAAAGAGUAUUGAUUCUGCCUGUCAGUUGCGCUACCCUUUCUCUAUAAAUGGAAGCUUCCUUGAAUCCAAAUUUCGCUCAGUCAUUCUUUACCAUUUUUCAACUCCUUUUUUCUCAUCACCCUAAUCCAAUUUUAUUUCUCAUGUUUAACGCCUGUGGCCGUAGGGUCAUGCGGUAGCGUUUCAUUGGCUACAAAAUGGCCCUUUCUCAAAGCUGUCUUUCUCUGAGCUGGAUUGUACUAACUUGUUGUUAUUGUUGUUGUCGUUGUUGUUGUUGUUGCUACUACUGUCAUCGUUGGCUCGAGGCGAUGAGAUAGGGGUGCUGAUUUAUUCUGACUCAGGAAGAUAUUUGGACUCUACACUACUGCUCACCUCCCUAUUCCGGCCUGGUGUGGCACUCCAUCCCUUUUGCUUUCCGUGGGGUGAAGUUGCACUACCGGCCGCUAACUUGCACUGCAUAAUGUUCCAAGAAGUGGACUCAAAGUAGAUGUGAAGGUAAGGGCGACGCUUGCCAAGUCUUCUAUCGGGCCAUGAUAUUCUUGGCCUGGUAAAAGCUUUUGCUCUUUGGCGGGCUACGACUUUUUCUUCAUCUUUUUCUACUUUUUCUGCAUCACUUUCCUCUUCUUCUUCUUCUCCCUUAAAGAUGCCAUUUUGGAAGAUCGAGAUGAGGCCCCCGAGGAGAUGGUGCUUGAAGAUACUGCCGCCGAGGAUGCACGCCCGAGAAUAGAUUAGACUCUUGGCCUUUAUUAUAUGUAUAUUUUUUUGCUUCUUUAUUUCUGUGUAAGGACCCCUCGUGGGCUUUUGUAAGCAUGGUUUAUUAAUACAAGGAUAUUUCUUCGAUUUGUCUUUGAUUUAUGCUGAAUUCCCUCUUUAUUUGCGUUUGUGAAAAGUCUGAGCAUGUGACUCUACUAGUUGGCCCGAAUAUCGGAUCAGGGCAUAGGUAUUCCCUCGGUUCUUGAUCGGCCAAUAUGAUUUUCCCUGAAAUAAUUUGUCGUUUCUCGUACCAAUCCCAGAUUAACCCGGUAGAGACUUAGGCUGCCAAAACCUGCGACUUUGAAUCGAGUAAGAGUUAGGCCUCGAUUUUGAUAGCCCCAGGACUUUCACGGAUAGUCCCCGAGUGAGAUUUAGCCUAACUUCGGAUGGCCCAAAAAACUUAAUUUGAACUUAGUGUGAAGGUAGACCCGAGGCUUCAUCAGUAAUUCUUGAGUGCGAACUGGCUCGAGCUCAUAUAGCUCGAGGGACAAGGAAUCGGGUAAAUGACUCGUAUUCGAAAUAGCAGAAACCCUCAAGGCAGGAUGCUACCUCGAGAUUGGGCAUAUAUAUGAGCAACUCAUUUUAGAGCUUAACUUUCGUUUUGGCAGGGAUCCACGAGAUCGGGCACUAUCUCGAGACUCAAAGUGAUAUUAAUGUCUCCUUAGAAACCUUUCUUCCUUUUUGGCAGAGGUCCUCAAGAUCGAGUACCAUCUCGAGGUUUGUAAUGAUAUCGACGGCUCCUUAGAGCCUUUAUUCUUUUUUGACGGAGGUCCUAAAGAUCGGGUACAAACUCGAGGCCUGUAAUGAUAUUGGUGGAUCCUUAAAGCUUUUCUUCUUUUUAAUAGAGGUCCUCGAGACCGGGUACUAUCUCGAGGAUAAAAACCUCGCCGGUAAAACCCUUUUUGGGAUAAAAAACCGGUCGAAGGGAAACAGUGCAACGUAUUCUUUGAAACCUUUAGGUCUUUGAGCUGGAUAGCGCUUCGACUGUCUCAGUCGAACAGCUGUAUAAAGGUUAGUGUGAAGUGUAAUUUAAAAAGGAGGUGAUUAUACCUAAGUGGCGAUGGCGCUUUGGGCCUCAGCAGGCCUUCAAUAUUUGCUCUGAGGACACGGUACAAUCCUUUGUUUGUUCAUUUGGGUAUAGCCGAGAACAUUUCAGGUAUAGCCGAGAACGUGUCUCGUGAUUGCUAUUUCUCUAUUUGUUUGUCCUAUGGUUUCUUUUGCGCCAAAGGAGUCAGUGUCGGCGCCACAUCGUGCACUACGAACACCUCCCUUGCUGCAUGUUAUUCCCCGUACAUAGUUUUUAUUCUGUCCUUUAAUCCUUUGUCUGAAACUUCAUCAUUUGAUGAAGGGUUGAUGGUACUGCUCUCAUGCAAUGUUUCCAUGGCAUUCUGAGCAAAACGUUGUACCUGAUGUCUCCUUCGAUGACGUGGCAUUUGGCAUUUUUGAUAGUGCCGGCUCGUUGAACGGGAGGGUGAUCUCCCCUUUGGUUGUUUUGCUCGCCAUAUUGAAUCCGUUAAGGACUCGAGAGGCGGGCACGAUCUGGCCGAGUAGUCCGAGCUGCUCCACGACCCUUGACCCGAUGAUGUUAGCCGAGCUUCCUAGAUCCACAAAUACACAUUUAAUUUGAAAUGUAUUUACAAGGAAAGAAAUUACCAGUGCAUUAUUGUGAGGCUGAGACAAGAUCUCGACGUCCUCGUCGCUGAAUGUGAGGGCGUCCUUGGGUAUGCAUCCUCGAGUUCGCUUUUCCCUGGUGAUGGAUAUUUUUGUUCUUCUGAUAGUGGGUUCUUGUGGGAUGUCGACCCCUCCUAUGAUCAUGUAGAUAACAUGUUGAAGCUCAUCUACUUCGUUAUUCUUGGUCGCCUCUCUUUCUCAAAACUAAUUUUUGGCUCGGUCGCUGAGGAAUUCUCGGAGGUGACCUUUGCUACGUAAUCGUGCUACUUCUUUUUGGAGUUGUCGGCAAUCCUCGGUCCUAUGACCGUGUGUGUUGUGAAAUUAACACACUAAUUUAUGGUUCCUUGGCCACCUUGUGUCUCUAAUUUUACUGAUGACGAAUACGAUAUCUGAAAUAUCGACAUUGAAGUUGUAUUCCGACAAGCGGGGUGCCUCCAUCAGCCGUGUGUGUUUAUCAAACCCAGCUCUAUUCACAAGUCCUCGAGGGCCCUCGGUCCAUUUUUCAAUCAUUCUGGGGUAGGUUACGCCUUGGGGCAUUUCUUCUGUCUUCGGUGUAUGGCUGGUACCUUUUUUUUGUUUGGCUUUGGCUCCUUCGCCAGAAGCCUGCUUGGGUAUACCGAGCCCGAGGGGACUCUUGGUUGGUCGUCCUCGACCCUGAUCUUCGAUUGAUAUCGGUUGUGAACGUCCGACCAAGUCACGGUGGGGUAUUCAACAAAAUUUUUCUUCAGCUAUUUCGAAGCUACCAAGCUUUUUUCAUCCGACCCUUGAUUGAAGGCUUGCAUUACCCAGUCGCUGGAGAUUGGUGGUAGUUCCAUUCGUUCCAUUUGAAAGCAAGAUACAAACUCUCGCAGCAUCUCGUUCUCCCUUUGCUUGAUUUUGAAGACGCCGGAUUUACUUGUUGCUACCUGAUGGCACUAGCAUGUGCCUUUAUGAAAGCAUCUUCCAGCAUGGCAAAUGAAUCUAUCGAGUUUGUGGCCAGGUUGUGAUACCACAUCAUUUCUCCCUUUGAAAGCGUUUCUCUGAUCUUUUCCAGUAGGACAGAUUCAAUCACGUCUUCCUUUAGGUCAUUGCCUUUCACUGCACAAGUGUAAGCAGUAAUGUGUUCAUUGGGGUCUGAGGUUCCAUUGUACUUUGGAAGGUCUGGUAUUCUCAACUUCUUUGGAAUGGGUUUUGGAGUCGCUUCAUGUGGGAACAACUUCUGUACGAACUUCUUUGAAUCCACGUCUUUCAGGAUCGGGGGUGCACCCGAAAUUUGGUCGACCUUGGCUUCUAUUUUUUUCUCGCCUGACUCGAUCCUCUUUGUGAGGUCCUCGAGCAUCUUUACGAUGGCGGGGUCGGCUGCUGACCCAUUGUUGCUUGAUAUUUCUGGUGCUUGUUCGGUCCGAGGGGCUUUUCCCGGGUCCGCUGUUCUUGGGGUUUUUCGGCGGCUCUAUAGCUGAGCAAUUGCCGCUUGUGCCUGCAACAUCUCAAAAAUAAUGCGAAGGCUGAUCUCCUGUUCCUCCCGAGCUGGGGUUUUUUGGACUUCUUGUUGAUCUCCUUGAUGUAUGCUACUGUUAGUGUGGGAGCUUAUAUCGACGUGUUGGGCAUCGCAUGAGACUGUCCACGGGAAUUGGUUCUUGUGCAUUCUCAUGGUUUUGUGGUGGUACACCAACACCUAGAACAUCUACACCAUUCUCACCAUGGUCCUCAAGAUAGUUGUUUUCACGUGCCUUUACUGAGUUAGACAUUUUGACCUGAAAUCAGAGAUCUUGGACGAGAAAAAGUGUGAAAGGUAACUUGCGUUAUGCAGUUAAACUAGCAAAAAAAUAAUCACUAUUAUUUUUAGCCCCACGGUGAUCGCCAAACUGUUUACCGUGAAAAUGGUAAUAACAAUGUAAAUUUGAUUUUGUGGUUCUAAAAAUACGUGAUCUAUUUUUAUGCUAGUCGUUAGGCAAUGGAUGCUAAGUAACAAUUUAGAAAGCAAGAUUAUAUCUUAGAGACGAUAUGACAACCAAACUAAACGGCUAGAUAUCGGGGCCUCAAGUUGUCGUAUGUGAGGCCUCGAGGUCGAGUUGGGUGGCCGGCUUAGAGAGAUCGAGGGAGGACUAACAGUUAUGAGAGCUACGAUGAUGGAUUUUUAUGAUUAAUGUUAAGGAAUAAAUGAUGAAUAAUAAAUAGAACACAAUAAAUAUAAGCAAUUAAUGGAAGUAAUGAGAUCAACAGAAUAUGUUAGAGAGCAGAGAAAAUGUUCUUGUGUAUUUAAUAUUGAGUAUCAGAUGUAUAUAAAAUGACAAUGAUCCCCUUUAUAUAUGAAGGGGAAUCCCAACAUAGUACAAAUGAAUUUAUUACAAAGAUAUGGGGCUGGUACAACCAUUUAAUGCCGUAAUUCGGGUCUGAACUAGCCCACUAGACUUUGUCAGCUCUAGUUACGCUCCUUGUGAACUCCCCACUUUUUCACCAUAACCGUUGGUCUGUACUGUCCCGAGGUCUAGCGUCUAUAGCCCUCGGGGAUGAAUCUCGACCAUAGUGUCUAACCUUUGAAACGUGUUUACGAGGCAUCGUAACGACUGAAAAUUGGACCGUCCAAUUUUACCGCAUACAGUUCUCAACCACCCCAAUGUAAGCACUGUUCAGGGCCCACAUGAGACUCUUGUGAACUCUAGCACAUUAGAGAUUGGUUUUCCAAUAUCUUACGAGCUAUCUCCUGAAUGUAUGGUUCUGGUGUGAGCAUUUGUGAUGCCCCAAAAGACCAUCACUCAUUUUCAAAGUAAAUUAUGUGUUCUGAGGCCUUAAAAACAUCUUUUUGUCUCACCUCGAUUUGUGUGCGCAGUCCGGGCGCAUUUAUGGAAAUCUUCUAGAUAAAAACUAAGUAAAAUAAGAAAAUUGGCUUUUAAAAUUAAUUAAAGUUGACUUUGGUCAACAUUCUUGGUAAAUAGACCCAGACCUGUGAUCCGCCAGCCUCGUAGGGUCCGUAGUAAAAUAUGGGACUUGGGCGUAUGCCCGGAAUCGAAUUCCGAGGUCCCAAGCACAAGAAAUGAAUUUUUGAAAGAAAUUACUUAAUUGAAACUAUAAGAGUUUUGGAAAUGUAAAGAUGUUUGAAAUUGAUGGUAUCAGACUCGUAUCUUGGUUCCACAGCCCGGUACAGGUCUUAUAUAAUAGUUAAGUUGAAUCUGUGAAGUUUCGUAAGAAUCGGAGUUCGUUUAGUACAAAUCGGACCUUUACAUAAGAAAGUGGAAAUGUUGAUAUUCUUGAGUGAUUUCAUGAAUUUGAGGUUUAAUUCAUAGUUGUUGAUGUUAUUUUGAUGAUUUGAUCGCACGAACAAGUCCGUAUGAUAUUUUUGGACUUCCGUGCAUGUUUGGUUUGGAGCCCCGAGGGCUCGCAUGAGUUUUGAAUAGGCCACAAAGUCAAAUUGAACUUAGGAAAACUACUGGUGUGUUGCAGGUCUGCAGGCUUCGCAGUUGCGAGCUCGCAAUUGCGAAGAAAUAUUGCAAUUGUGAAGAUGGGCUGGGCAGGGAGACCUUCACAUUUGCGAAGCUCAAUGUCGCAAAUGCGACUUCAACAUGGACCCCAAUUGCGAACAGUAGUUCGCAAUUGCAAAAAAAGCAGGACUGGCCUACCUUUGCAUUUGCGAAGUCUGGGCCGUAUUUGCGAGUUCGCAUUUCCGAAUGUGGAAAUUAUAACUUAGACGAAAAUUCUUCAUUUUUUAAACUCUCUCGAAUCCGAAACUCUCUUGGGCGAUUUUCUAAAAAAAGUUCUUCUCCAAAUCAAUUGUAAGUCAUUUCUAACUCAUUUUCUUCAAUCUAUAACAUCUUUUUACAUGAUUUCAAUUCAAAAUCAAGGGUUUUCAUGGGGGAAUUGGGUGUUCUCGGGUAGAACUUAGGAUUUUCAAAUUUUUGGGAUUUGGUCCUCGAUUUGAGGUUCGAUUUCAAAAUAAAUUACAUAUUUGAGUUCAUGGGUGAAUGGAUAAUUGGGUUUUGGUUUAAGCCUCGGGUUUUGACCAUGUGGGCCUGGGGUCAAUUUUUGACUUUUUGCGGAAAUCAUUAGAAAACCUAUUUUCAUGCAUUAGAAUUGAUUAAUUUAGGGUGCCAAGGUAUUUUCAAAGAUUGACUUGAGAUCUGGCUACCAUCAGUUAAGGAUUAGGCUAUCUGAUGUCCCUAAGAAAGCUUUCCACACUCGGUACAAGCAUUAUGAGUUCUUGGUAAUGUCAUUCGGGUUGACCAAUGCGCUAGCAGCUUUCAUGGAUUUGAUGAACCGAGUGUUCAAGCCUUACUUGGAUUCAUUCAUGGUAGUCUUCAUGGAUGAUUUUUUGAUCUAUUCCCACAACCGGGAGGAACAUGAGUAGCAUCUGCAAGUUGUUCUUCAGAGUUUGAGAGAUAGUUAGUUGUAUGCUAAGUUUUCGAAGUGUGAGUUUUGGUUGAGUUCAGUUGCAUUCUUGGGUCACGUUGUUUCAGCAAAGGGUAUUCAGGUGGAUCCGAGGAAGAUAGAGGCAAUCAAGAACUGGCCUAGACCCGCGUCAGCUAUAGAGAUCCAGAGUUUCUUAGGCUUCGCGGGCUAUUACCGUCAGGUUUUGGAGGGGUUUUCAUUCAUUGUAGCCCCGAUGACCAGGUUGACCCAGAAGGAUGCCCAAUUCAGGUGGUCGGACGAGUGUGAGGCGAGCUUUCAAAAGAUCAAGACAGUUUUGACUACAACGCCGGUGUUGGUAUUGCCUACAGGUUCAGGGCCAUAAACAGUUUGUUGUGACGCAUCUCAUAUUGGACUUGGUGCGGUGUUGAUGCAUGAUGGAAAGGUCAUUGCUUAUGGUUUGCGACAGUUGAAUUUUAAUGAGAAGAAUUAUCUAGUUCAUGAUUUAGAGUUAGCAGCCAUUGCUCACGCGCUGAAUAUUUGGAGGCACUAUUUAUAUGGCGUGUCGUAUGAGGUGUUUACGGAUAACUAAAGUCUACAGUACUUGUUCAAGCAGAAAGAGCUAAAUUUGAGGCAGAGAAGGUGGUUGGAGCUAUUGAAAGACUAUGAUAUUACCAUCUUAUACCAUCCGGGGAAGGCCAAUGUAGUGGCCGAUGCAUUGAGUAGGAAGUCAGUCAGCAUGGGCAGUCUUGCGUAUAUUCCGGUUAGUGAGAGACCGCUUGCUUUGGAUGUUUAGGUGUUAGCCAAUCAGUUCCUGAGGUUGGAUGUUUCUCAGCCUAGCCAUGUGUUAGAUUGCAAAGUCACUCGAUCUUCAUUAUUUGAGCAAAUUCAAGAUUGGCAGUAUAAUGAUCAUCAUUUGCUUGUCCUUACAGACACAGUACGACACAGAGGUGCUAAGCAGGUUACAGUUGGAGAUGAUGGAUUUUUGAGGAUGCAGGGUCUUAUUUGUGUGCCUAAUGUGGAUGGAAUUCGUGAGUUGAUUCUAGACGAGGCCCAUAAUUCCCGGUACUCUAUUCAUCCGGGCGCCAUUAAGAUGUCUCAGGAUUUGCGGCAGCAUUAUUAGCGGAGGAGUAUGAAGAAGGAUAUUGUUACAUAUGUGGCUCGGUGUUUGAAUUGUCAGCAGGUAAAGUACGAGCAUCAGAGACCUAGUGGUUUAUUCCAGAAGAUUGAGCUUCCUGAGUGAAAGUGGGAGCGUAUUACUAUGGACUUCGUUGUUGGACUCCCAUAGCCUCAGAGGAAGUUCGAUGCAGUGUGAGUUAUUAUUGAUAGGCUGACUAAGUCAGCACAUUUCAUUCCUGUGGUAGUUUCCUAUUCUUUUGAGAGGUUAGCUGAGAUCUAUUUUCGGAAGAUCAUUCAUAUUCAUGGUGUGCCCGUGUCUAUCAUUUCGGACCGAGGUACGCAGUUUACCUCACAUUUCUGGAGGGCAGUUUAGCAUGCGUUAGGCAUACGAGUUGAGUUGAGCACAACAUUUCAUCCUCAAACGGACGGGCAGUCUGAAUGUACUAUUCAGAUUUUUGAGGAUAUGCUUCGAGCUUGUGUCAUUGACUUUGGAGUCUCAUGAGAUCAGUUCUUGCCUUUAGCGGAGUUUGCCUACAACAACAACUACCGGUCGAGCAUCCAAAUGGCUCCUUGUGAGGCUUUAUAUGGUAGGCGGUGUCGGUCGCCAGUUGGGUGGUUUGAGCCGGGAGAGGCUCGGUUGUUGGGUAUGUAUAUAGUACAGGAUGCCUUGGAUAGGGUCAAGAUCAUUUAGGAUAGGCUUCGUACAGCUCAGUCUAGGCAAAAGAGUUCUGCCGACCGUAAGGUUCGUGAUGUGGCAUUCAUGGUCGGUGAGCGGGUAUUGCUUCCGGUGUAGCCUAUGAAGUGCGUGAUGAGAUUUUGAAAGAAGGUCAAGCUAAGCCCUAUAUUCUUUGGUGUUUUUGAGAUUCUUGAUCGAGUGGGAGAGGUGGCUUACAGACUUGCGUUACCGCCGAGUUUAUCAGUUGUGCAUCCAGUGUUUCAUGUGUCCAUGCUUCAGAAGUAUCACGGCAAUGAUCCCACGUGUUAGACUUCAGCACUAUCCAAUUGGACAAGGACUUGUCCUAUAAGGAAGAGCUAGUGUCUAUUCUAGACCGGAAGGUUUGUUAGUUGACAUCGAAGAGUUUCCCUUCUGUUCGUGUUUAGUGGAGAGGUCAGACUGCUGAGGCAGCUACAUGGGAGUCUGAGUCCGAUAUGCGGAGUCGAUAUCUCUGACUCAGGUACUUUUCUUAUGUAUGUUCGAGGACGAACGGUUAUUUUAGAGGUGGAGAAUGUGAUGACCCAAAAGGUCAUCAAUUGUUUUGAAAGUAAAUUCUAUGUUCCGAGGCCUUAAAAACCUCUUUUAGUCUCACCUCAAUUUGCGUGUGCAGUCGGGGCGCGUUUCCAGAAAGCUUCUAUGUGAAAAUUAAGUAAAAUAAGAAAAUUGUCUUUUAAAAUUAAAUUAAAGUUGAAUUUGGUCAACAUUAUUGGUAAAAGGACAUGGACCCGUUAUCCGACUAUCUCAAAGGGUCCGUCGUAAAAUAUGGGACUUGCGCAUACGCCCGGAAAAGAAUUCCGCACCCCGAGAAAUGAAUUUUUGAAAGAACUUGUUUAACUAAAAUUAUAAGAGUUUUGGAUAUGUAAAGAUGUUUGAAAUUGAUGGUAUCGGGCUCGUAUAUUGGUUCCGGAGCCCGAUACAGGUCUUAUAUAAUAGUUAAGUUGAAUCUGUGAAAUUUGGUAAGAAUCUUAGUUUGUUUAGUAUAAAUCGGACCUUUAUUUGAGAAAAUGGAAAUUUUGAUGUUCUAGAGUGAUUUCAUGAAUUUGAGGUUUAAUUCAUAGUUGUUGAUGUUAUUUUGAUGAUUUGAUGACACACACAAAUCCGUAUGAUAUUUUUGAACUUGCGUGCAUGUUUGAUUUGGAGUCCUGAGGGCUCGGGUGAGUUUUGGAUAGGCCACAUAGUGAAAUUGGAACUGUUGGUGUGUUGCAGGUCUGCAGGCUUUGCAAUUGCGAAGCCUUGCUCGCAAAUGCGAGCUCGCAAUUGCGAAAAAAUAUUGCAAUUGCGAAGAUGGGCUGGGCAGGGAGACCUUUGCAUUUGCGAAGCUCAAUGUCGCAAAUGUGACUUCAACAGGGACCGCAAUUGCAAAUAGUAGUUCGCAUUUGCAAAAAAAGCAGGACUGCCGGAUUUGCGAAGCCUGGGCCGCACUUGCGAGUUCGCAUUUGUGAACCUGGCAUCACAAAUGCGAUAUCUGCACCUGUGCAAAUUAUAACUUAGACAAAAAUUCUUCAUUUUUCAAACUCUCUCAAACCUUAAGCUCUCUUGGGCGAUUUUCUAAAGAAAAGUUAUUCUCCAAAUUAAUUUUAAGACAUUUCUAACUCAUUUUUUUCAAUCUAUAACAUCUUUUUACAUGAUUUCAAUUCAAAAUCAAGGGUUUUCGUAGGGGAAUUGGGUGUUUUGGGUAAAACUUAGGAUUUUUAAAUUUUGGGUAUUUGGACCUCAAUUUGAGGUCCGAUUUCAAAACAAAUUACGUAUUUGAGUUCGUGGGUGAAUGGGUAAUUGGAUUUUGGUUCGAACCUCUGGUUUUGACCAUGUCAGCCUGGGGUCAAUUUUUGACUUUUUGCGGAAAUCAUUAGAAAACCUAUUUUCAUGCAUUAGAAUUGAUUCAUUUAACAUUUAUUGAUAUCGUUAAGUAAAUUAUAGCUAGAUACAAGCGUAUUGGUGGUGGAAUCGUGGGGUAAAGCGGUAGUUGAGGCAUGAUUGUGUUUGUGGCAUUGAGGUAAGUGUUUGGUCUAACUUUAGCUUGAGGGAAUAGGAGUCUUGGUCUUAUUUUCUAUGUGUUAAUUGUUGAGUACGACAUAUGGGUAUGGUGACGAGUAUCUAUACAUCGAUGUCAAGCAUGCACGUGAGUCUUAUACUAUGAUUGAUGUGACUCCAUUUUGUAUCGUCCAUGCUUAAUAUGAUGAUUUCUAAUGUUUAACAAAGCUUAUGGGAGUAUUCUUGGUAAUUGAACAUUGUAGAGCGUUGGCUCAAGUUGAAAAUUCAGUUGUGAAGAAAUUGUGGAAAAGAGAAGAGGUUUAUGAUAUUGUCUCCCUUGCCGGGAUGUUAUUGCUUUUGAUAUUAUUUCCCUUGCCGGGAUGUUAUUGCUCAUGAUAUUGUUUUCCUUGCCGGGAUAUUAUUGUUAUACUAUUGUUCCCUUGUCAAGAUUCUAUUAUGAUUUUAUUGAUUCCCUUGCUCGAAUUUCUUUGUGAUUGUUGCUUGGGAAAGGAAGAGUGUAAAAGCACGAAGGGUGAUGUCGUGCAUGAUAUUUGUUAGUGAGUGUUAAUGCACGAAGGGUGAUGCCGUGCCGAUAUUGUAAAUAUAAAAGCACGAAGGGUGAUGUCGUGCCAUGAGUUUUGUGAGGUAAAAGCAAGAAGGGUGAAGCCGUGCCGAAUAUAUUGAAUCUUAUGGUGAGAACGAGAGUAAAAACACAAAGGGUGAUGUCGUGCACGUGUCACUGAUUUCAUUAUUCUUGCUUAUAGUUGAAUUUGGUGUUCUGUAUGAUUCUUUACUAAAUUUGUACUUGUACAUGAUAUUCCCCCAAGCAUGUUUCCCCUCCCCAUCUUUAACUGCUAGAUUAUGUCAUUAUUACUUGCUGUAUAUGAUAUAACUGCACAGGUUUAUUUGGUAGUCUUGUCCUAGCUUCGUCACUACUUCGCCGAGGUUAGGCUCGAUGCUUACCAGCACAUGGGUUCGGUUGUGCUGAUACUACUCUUUGCACUGUGUGCAGAUCUCGGUGCUGGAGCUUUUGGACCACAGUGAGGUUGCUGCCUUCAGAC